rnacentral:lncRNA from 1 species
AAACCACCAGCUACCUUUUUGCUUCUUAUUUUAUACAUGUGGCAACCUCUCUGGCUUGUGGUCCUCCUGCCUUUUUGGGACAUUGCAAUAGGUAGCUUACAUGCCAUUUUCUUAUUGCUCAUCUCAGGAAUCUCUAUUCCCAUUGGCACCUCAUUCUUAGCCGAAAGAUAGAUAUUUUCAAUUUCUCACAUGAUAACAUUCUAUUUAUUGCACUUUUAAUUUCAUUAGAUCACUAAUCUCAUUAUUUAUUUUGUUUUAUUUAAUUUUUUAAAUUUCAAUGUCAAUCCAUGUGGAGAUGAACUUGAUACUCAUCAUUAUAUUACAUGUUGUGUACACUUGAAUAUUGACAUCACUAUACAUCAUAUCGAGCACACACCAACAUGCACUGUUUACAUGCGGCUCCAACCAUCAAAAUUCGAUUUUUAAAAAGUACUGCUUAAUGACGUGGAGUUUUCGAAAUUGUCCUUUUAUUCGAGAAACAUGUCUUCCGAUUCCUGGUGAACUUUCUCGGCGUUCUGGUCAAACAACCUGUUCCUCGCUUUACAAACCAUCUAAGUGGGGGUGCAUCAAGAGAAAUAAUUCUAAAAGCAUUUCUCCAAAGGAGCUAGGUUGAUCAUCCCAAACUGGUCUUGAUUUUAUUCCAGGAAACAAACACUUAAGUAUUCACUCAAUUUCUACAAUAACAUACAAAGAACUUUAAGCCUUUAAAUGUGAACUAAAAGACAGUGGUGGGUGAGCACAUGUGAAUGUGUGUACAUACAUGUCUCGCUUCAUAUGUAGACAAUAUGAUGAAAUGCAAAAGGAGCCUCAACCAGCUUAUCUACGCUAAACAACAUAGAAGAAGAAGACCAAUAAGAUUUAGUGUCAUUGACAACUCAAGGAUAACAGCAAAUUAAAGGUUCAAGAGUAGAUAUUUAACUUACAGAUGAAUAACCAGCUACUCAGCCGAGGAAACGUCUAUCCACCAUAUCUGCUGUCUCUAUACCAGGGGGAAAAAAAAAAAGGAAAAGAAAUUAACGAACUGAUUAAUACUCUUUUUUUUCCCCCCUUAAUGGGCACAAAAAGCAGCUCAACCUUACAGAACUGCCAAUAUUGAAAUCCUUCUAUACUUCAACUUGGGAGUGAGAGUUUAUCCCACAGAUUUCUUGGUAUCCAGGUUGUAAAAUAAAAAAUAGGAAAAUGUCUGCAUAUAUUGACAAAGAAUAAAGCUUUACUUUGCAAACGAUCCCCCCAACCGUCGGAUAAAUCAGCAUUCUCUAAAAUAUUACUGAGGAUCUGUUCAUAAUUUAAUCCAAGAACAGUCAUCGAGCCUGGUGCUGUAAGCAGAUUUUGUAAAGCUUUCAACUUUAACGCCUUCGAGCCUGGCACUUGCCGUAAACUUAUCGAAUUUGAUGGCCAGUCCUCCGGGUUGGUGGCAGCCCAACUUGUUUUUCCACUUUGUUGAAUAAAGCAAUGAAUUUGCUUUCAGUAGUGAAGCCGUUGCCAUUGAAAUAAUAAUAAUAAAUAUGAUAUGUUAGGUUUCUUUGUCCCCAUGGUCGCUUCUUUUCCAAUUUUGUUUUUGAACGACAAUGGCAGAAUUAUAUUAGCCAUCCACGUGGAAAAUCAUUUGGCAAAUUUAUUUUGAGAAUUUUUAUGGAUUUUCAUGUUUAUUAUUUUCAGAAUUAUUUAUGGAUUUUUCCUGCUAUAUGAUUUUUUUGGAAUACUGAUAAUAUAAUUGUUUUAAACUUUAAAUUUAAUUGUUUUAAUCUCUACCGUUCAUUUAAUUUAAUGGAUAAAUAAUUGGUUAAUUAAUAAGGAAUAGAUAACUUCUUUUUUUGGUUUUAUCCACGAGGUAUUUUGGGGAGGGCCCCAACUGUGGGAGGCACCUUUAAGCCCGUACCACAACCCAGACUAGAAGUCCCCGCUCGAACCGGGAGGCACAGGUUCUCCCAACAAAGGCAACUUCCCUGUGACUCGAACUGGGGAGCAAACUCAGUCAAGCCACUUAAGGGGACUCCAUUGCCAGUGGAGCCAACACUUUAUUAGUGGAAUAGAUAACUUUUAAAAUACAGUUUGAUGAAUUUGAAUUAAAUGCAAAGCUUAUGAAUUCAACGACUAAGGAUAAAGGCUUGUGAUCUAAUACGACUCCUCUUAUCCCUUUUUUUUUUUUUUUUUCCUUACUUUCUAAUUUCUAAAUAAUCUUUUUAACAUGUGUGUUAACUAACAACAAUAUUUUUAAAGAAUUAACAUUUGUUCAUUAAUACAAAUAUUUUACGCGUCGAUUAAAAUCAAAUGAUGUGCAUUGUUACAUUAUUGAUGUUGUAAUUAAAAAAAAAAUUAUAGAAUGACCCUUGUUUUAUAUUUAAUAUAACUUCAUAUAAGUAAACUUAAUGAGAUUAUUAUUAUUAUAGUUUUUUUUUAAUUCUUUAAUGUUAAAUGAUGUGGCGUGUGACGUUAUCAUUUGUUAAUAGUUUUUAUAAAGUUUCAAGUGUAUCAAUUACAUUAUCUUAUUAUUCACUUUGUGAAUGUCAUAAAAACUAAGAUCAAAUUGAAAAUUGAACAUUGAGAGCAUUAGAUGUUUUAUUGUACAAAUUAUAUUUUGGAUCACAUAUGUGUCGAAACUAUUUAUAAGUAUUAAUAUGCUGAAACUAAAUGGAUUAAUAAUGGUAACAGGAUGAUUUCAAAUUUUCAAAUCGUAAGGCUGGUGAUUCAUUCAAGUUACUCGACUAAUAUACACAUGAACUGUCGUAAUCAUUUGGGCAAAUGACAAACAAUAUACAAGGAAAUGCAAGGAACUGAAGCAGCUAAUCUAUCUUUUCUUAGCUCUAAUCAAUUGGAAAACAAGCACUAUAAGAGAGACAAGAAGAGCUGAUCCUGCGACAACAAGAGGAGGACAAACCUUAUUCUUUUUAGAAACAUGCUUCUUUAUUUGUGCUGCUGCCGCAUCCUCAUUGAUACCUUUCUGCUUCUCCAAUUCUUUAGAUUCUUGUUCAUCAGGUUUUUCUUCAGCUGGCUCAAUUUCAUUUGGCUUUGGAGUUUCUUCUGGCUCAGGUACUUGACAGGGCUCUUCAGGUUUUGUUAAUUCUUCAACUUCUUGACAGGGCUCCUGCUUUUGUAAAUCUUCGGGCUUUUCGCUUUCCAUUCGAUGAUGAUCUUUACUAGCAGUGUGUUUCUCUUCAACUUGAGUAGCUAACGAACUUUGAUCAUCUCCAGAUUCGAUUGUUUUAGCCAUCUCAGGGCCAGGAACAUGUGCUUCAAAUCCUGGCUCUGGUGCUUUUUCUUCAGGAAGCCUAUCUUUCCAAGUUUCUUCAGUUUGCAAUGGUUCCGUGAUCUUCGAAAUCUCAGCUUCCCCGUCAGGUUUUGAGGAUACAGUUUCAGUUCUUCCUGGUGAUUCCUCCACAACCCGUUCAUUUUCUUCCUUGCUUUUAACUUCAGGCCCUUUGGAUUCUUCCCGAAUUGUCUGUUCAACUCUUUCAGUUUCUGCCUCGGCUCCAUUCUCCAAUGGCCUGGAUUCCCGUCCAUCAAAUUUUUCUUCGGCUCCUUCUGUUUUUCCAUUUUCAGGAAUCUCUUCAGCAGCUGAUUCCGUUGUUUCAAAUGUUCGCUGAUCAUUUGCUGGUUCCUCAGCCUGACCCGGAUCCUGCUUUUCUUCAAUCUUCUCUAUAAUUUCUUCCUUAGGCGCCGCCUUAUUCGUACCUUUCUCGGGAACCUCAUCAGCCGCAACUGGUUUCAUUUCAGGAUCCUCUAUUUUAUCAAUUGCUUCAGGCAUCCCUCUAUCGACUUCCUCUUCCUUCACUUCCUCAAUCACAACCCCAGAAUGUCCUUUAACUGACUUGGGCAUGAAAAUUGUCAAAUUUGAUGUUUCUUCAUUAAACUUGGCCUUAACUUUAUCCAAAAUCACCCCAUUUGGUAUCUGAAAAACUUUCCUGAAGGCCCUGAUUUCCACCUCUUUUUUCUGCACAAUCCAACCCAUCAACACCAUCUCUUGCACCGGCUUCUUUCCACUAAUUGCAAUUUUAUCUCCUGCUUCAUUUAUCAUAAUAUCGAUAUUCUCUCUUCUGAAGCCUGCACAUGCUCAAAAUUUAAGAUUAAAUUAUCUCAUUUACCAUCAAUUUAUACAACAGAAAGAUUAAAUUAAAAUGGAAGAGACGUGGAGUUAAGUAAAUAAGAUAAACCUUUGAGAUAUCCGGUGAGGAUGAACUUGCUGUCAGUUUCUUCAGACACGAAAAUUGGACCAGACGAAUCUGUGGUGAUCCGAAAAUCAGCAAUGGAAGUCUGUUCGUCGUCUCUUGUACGAGUGAGCUUAAAUCCCAAUUCAAGCUCCAUGGCUGCUACUGCUUCUUCCUCUUUUUUUUUUUUUUUUGAAUAAAAGAAAUUCAAAUUACUAUGCUCUGAGUAAUGUAUGAGAAACAGAAUUAAUACGAUUAUAAAAAAAUUGUGGUGCAAGGCAUUCUAACAUGUUGAAGUCACAAUUUGGUGGCAUUUUUGCAGGUGUGUGAAUAAGAGUAAAGCACAUAUUCAUUGCUUCUUAGUGUAAAAUUUGAGGUGGGUUCAAAGUCGGUUACUUCUAACUGUUCUUGGCCUUGGCGAGAAGCAACGGCAUUUUGCUGAUACUAAAACGUGAAAUUGCAGGUGAGGUACAAGUGGAGCACCAAAAUGUGUCCCUGCUUGGGAUAAAAGAAUAUUUCUUCGAUCAACAUCUAUAGCCAUGAAAUGUUAAAAGUUAUUAACUUUGACAACAAAUUUGAUAUGUAAGAAUUUUACUUUCAUUAGUUUCUUAUCAGAGGAAGUGACAUUAUUUUCGGAUUUUAAAUUAUCAAGUAACGAAAAAAAAAAAAAAGUAACUAAACACUUUAAUCAUUGUGAUUUUAAGAUUGAUUUUAGAAACCCCUAUAUACUAGUGAACCUCAUGUGAAAGCAGCACGACACUAUUCUUGCUGGGCUCGUACCAUCUACGAUUAAGGCCAAUCUGAUCCAAUUGAAAUCUCUAUACAUCACUUAUUUGGUCAUCAAGAAGCUGUCUUUGAAUUUAUAAAAUGAGGAGUUUGCUAUCUUACCCUAAGGUACAAUCCUCUCACAAAUUUGGUUAUGGGUCUUACUUGGACUUACGACCAGAUACUGUUCAUAUGAGAGGAGAGGACUGCACCUUGCGGAUGUUGUAAGGUAGCCCUCUCCCAUAAAAUGGUUUUUAAAAAUGGAAGUGAAUCUGGUUUCUUCCGCCAUAAGAAGAUUUAAAGCAAUGCAGAAAAGGGACCUCUUUGCCCAACAGGUCACCCUUGGAACUUCAAAUUUAAAAUUUUCAUCAUUAAUUCAAUUUUUUUUUAAAAACAAAAAACAUAAAAGUUAUGCAAAGAGGUGGGGAUCAAUGAAGAACAAAGAGAGUGAAAAAGAAAAAAGUAAGUACUUGAUUGCAUGGGCAAAAUUAAAGAUCAAAAGUGAGAAAUGAUUCCAAAGCAAGUGCCAGAGAUAAAAAGAGCAUCGCCAGUCACCAUAAACACAAACUAUGGUACAUAUAAUCAUCACAUUUAAAGCUACUUUAACUCUCUAAUUACCACAGUACUUUUUUACUGCAUCCUCUUCCUACUUAAUAAAUAAAAUACUUUCUACUUUUUACACAUGCGAAACGGCCUCCGUUAAUUUCUCUCUUGAGUCUCAGCCUCUUUUUUACAUCAUCAGGAAAACUGUAGAAAAUAGGACCAAUAAUUGACUUGCUAGUAUCCCAACCUCCACCUGCAUUUCCACCCACCAAAUCAACACACCAUUAAAAUCAUUUCACUAUUAUUUUAUAUGUGUAUGGCCAAGUGAACCAAAAUGAUAAAUGAAAUACACACACACAUACAUAUAAAAUCAUGACUUACAUAUGCAGAUUUUACGUAACACUUUAACAAUUCAGCAUCAAAUUGGAAAAAUUUAAUUUCAAACUCUUACUAAACAUUAUGUACAAAUCCACAUUUUUAUAAAAACCCAAAACGUUCUCACCUGAUUCACAUGGCCUGAAGUGGGCAAAGGCCGUAUAGUAGCAGAAUCAACUUCACCAGUAGGCAGAGGAACGGCGGGGUUACUGUUAAUGAACGGAAUGCCGCUGCCUUUAUCCGGCACCGUCUCUGGAGAAGUGGCAGCAAUCAUGGGUGCAGGAGUUGGGGAAAAAGCCUUUUCAUGAGGGCGGAAAGGCCACGGAUAAGAUGGAGAAGACGACACAAUGCCUCCGGGAGCCGGCGUCGGAGCCGCCAUCAUCGGAGGUUUUUCCGUUGAAGGGGUUGGUGACGGAGUUGAAGAGACAGCAGAGACUUUUAUGGAGAGCUUUUGUGAGCUUUUAUUGCAUGUUUGAAGAGAGCCGUUGUUGAAUGUGAAGUAGAAAAAUCCAGGGCGUGAUGGGUGCCACUAAUUAUUUUGCAUACAUUAUGAGCAAAAAUUUUAAAAAAUUAAAAAAAGUUAGUAACAAUUUUGAGACAUUUUUCAAUGUACCCCACGUAAAAAAGAAUGCAACUAGAACAUGUUUCCAGAUCCAAAAAAAUUAAAUCAUUUUCAAAAUUUCCAUGUUUUUGUUUCAAAAACAAGAUUUGAAGCUAGCUAGUUACCGUAUAGGAGGUGGAAUUGGGCUUGGUGAGAAGAGUAGCUUGAGAGAAAUUGCAAAGAUUGAAUGCAUUCUUGUUCUUGAAAAUGUAGAGGUUGGAGUUAUUAAACUUGUGUUUGAAAACUGAGAAAGAAAUUAAGAACAGGACAUGUUAGUCAUUGCUAAUUUGGAUCACAUAAAAAAUGUUGUUUUGUUUUCAGAUUACUUACUGAUUGUGUCUCCUACAUGGACACUGGGGUUCUUCCACUCUGAAAUUCCAUCAACAAAAAUUGUUGCCGAUUGAGCCUGUUGUGAGAGAAGAAACAAAACUAGGAAGAUUGGAAGCAUGGAUGAAAUGUCAAGCUUCAUGAACUGAAAUAAUGAACUAAUGAAGUGAAAUGAUGAAGAGGGAUGAUUAAAUCAGAAGGGUUUAUGGCUUUUAUGCACUUGUAAUGGCUCUGUCAAAGGUUUUAAAAGAAAAAGGGGAUUCUGAAAAUUGAAAAAUGUGCAUUAGUUUUUUUGUCUCUUGUUUUUGAGGGGAGACCCUGCAAACUGUCAGACUUUGUUUGAAUGGAUGACAGACAAUGGAUAUGGGAGAUUGUGUGAUUUCAUUUAUUUUAAACAGUAAAAGGUGGCAUGAUUUUGUUUGUUGAAAAACUUUACAAAAAACAGUAAUAAUAAAGAGGAUGAAAUUAGUAUUUAUAAUGUAAUGAUAAAAAAAAUUGAUAAAAGAUGAUGGGGAUUAUUAUUCUAAAAUGAUUAGCUAGUUCUUUGUGAUUAUCACUCUGCAGUCUUUAUUUACAUCAAUUUUUAAUUUAAAUAGUUUUUUUUUUUCUUAUAUGGAGAGGUGAAUGAGUGUGGGGAAUCUAAUUUUACUUUCUUUGAUGAAAUCUUUAACUUUUUAAUUUGGCCCCUUCAGUUUCUUUAUUACUUUAAUUUGUUUAAUGAAGUGAUACGCAUACUUUUUAUUUUGAUGUUUCAAACGAAUAAAAUCUCACUUUCUUCUGUAAUUACAUUGUGGAAUUGAAACCAUAAAUUUAUCUAUAUUAAACAAGACUCAAUACGAAACCCAAUAUAUAUAUAUAUAAAUAUAUAAAACACUUGCAAAACCAGUUGUGAUACGAGUACAGUAGAGUAUGGAAACUUAUUUAAGUUGUGUAUUGGGUUGUAACUUAGCACAUUAAAUUUGUUAUAUGAAAGUUGAAACUUUAUAUAUAUAUAUUUUUUUUUAAGUUUGUUAUACACAGAUGUUACUGACAUUACAUCAGAUAUUACAAUUAAUAUUUACAAUUAUACAUAUAAUUAGGACCACUGCCAUACAUUGAUACACUGAAGCAUUUGCUCAUAUAUUUUAAAACCUCUCUAAUAUUCGAGAGGUGUAUGCUCCACUCACAUUUCGGAAGGGAGAGAAUAUCUCCACUCAAUUAUAUUGAUAAUUAAGGGAGUACUGAAAUUAACUCCUAUAAAACUCUUAUGGAGGCUUGAAUACUUGCACUCAAUAUUGUAAGUGCAAGAUUUCUCCUAGACCAAAGGCCCAUUGGUUGAAAAGCUUAUAUUUACUUACGUGUGCGUGCAGAUGCUCGUUUAAUGAGAGAUACAAAAUGGUAUAAUCCCUUGAAAAAAUAUUGCAAAAUUAGAAAUUAAAACUUUAUUUUUUUUUCCAAUAGGAAUUAUCACCUGAGAUAUUCCGCUGGUAGCUAGUGAAGGGUCAGUAAAAUAUAAUAUGUCAACAAAAUAUAUCAGUUAUUAAGAUAAGAAACUGCAAAUGCUGGAUCCGGAGAAGCUGGUGUAAAUAACAGCAGGGCCGAAUCAUACGAAGACAAGGAUUAAGGGACAAAAAGAAUAAAAAAGAAAGAGGACUAGAACAGGGACAAAAAGAACUUAGGAUACUUAAAAAAACAAUCUUGGAGGAUUAGAAGACAAAAAUAAAAAAAGCUUUCUGGUAUAGUUCCUCCCCCCUUUGUUAUCUCCCAAAUCAUUGUUUCAAUGACAAUCAACAAACUUUAGUAUUGGCCAAAAAGAUAGCUAAAAAAAAAAUAAAAAUUACCGUAUAUUUACACAAAAGAAAAAGAGUCUUAAAUAGAAUAAUUACAAUGAAAUUACAAAGAAAAAAAAGAAUGACGUGGUAAAUCUACCUCACCUAAUAUCUUUUUUUCGAUCUAUAUUUGGCUGAACUGCAUACAAAACAUAAUCAAUUGCAAAAUUGAAAGUUUUCAUGUAAUAUUUGAUAAUCUGAGUAGUAAUACUAAAGAAAGGGGAAUAGUAUAUACAAAUACGUGGCUCGCCAUUCAACAGCAACGGCAACAGCUUUUCUACAAAUUGCAGCUUUCGAAGUGAGAAGAAUGUCAAGACAAGUACUAAAAGACAAAGGAAUAGUAACAAGAGUGCUUCCGGGAAGCAGAUAAAAGAAACUAGUGAUAGAUAAAUAAAUAUUUGCAGAAAAGAUAUUAAAAGCCGUUGAGUGGAUAAAUCGACAGAGAUAAAGCGCCUGUUGCCGUUGCUAUUUCAUUUUCAAUGUCGAUACGAGAGUGCUCUCUGCUGCCAGUCUCGCUCCCACGCUCGCCACUUGCUACUUCGAAACCCUAACCUUCAAUCCUCUAAAGAUUAAUAGUUGCCAUUUAAGAAGCCUUUUUUUUUUUUUAGCGACUAUUGUGUUUUUCAGAGCAUUUCUUUGAAUUUCCUAUAAAUUUCCCAUAUUACAGACAUAAAGCUUACCAUAAGGAAUUUUAUUAUUUAACCAAAAAAAACCUGAGAAAAUUUGUGGAAAUAAAAACACGGCUAAUAAUAAUAAUAUGUUGGCAAGUAAUUUUAAGUCCAUAACUUAUAAUGAGGGCAGAAGCUUUCACGCAUAUUGAUCCAUGUAAGGACAUGCUAGAACUAAAAUUACAAAUGACAUUUCAAGAUAGCAACGGCAUAAACAAGAACAGUGCCAUUGGACUCUCAUAAACACAUAGUCUAGCAUUAGCAGAUAUUCUCAGAUCAUUAAUUACUGAUAUAUUUUGUUGAAACCUAAAUACAGUAUACUGCCAAUCCAGAAUGUACUUUGUUCUCCCAAAUCACAUUAUAUAUAGCAGAAAUCAGGAGAAACAAAUUUUGCAUUGCAACACUCCCUUACUACAUUGAUCUACAUUUGUCAUCAGCCCUCCUUUAUCUCACCUGAUGAAAGUCUCUCUCUCUCUCUCUCUCUAUUUUUUUUUUUUCCUCAAAUAAUAGGGAAUUUUUCUUCACGGCUCGGUGACAAUCCCUUUUCAACUAUAUAUCAAGAACCAUUACUGCUCUGAAGUGAUCAUUGGGUGGAUGUAACUACCAUGAAAGAAGCUAUUUCUCUAUAAGAUGACAUUGCUGCCACAUUCUUUCUAUGCAGGAGAAGCCAGUUCGUAAGUUAUCAUAUCUAAAGCAAAACAUAAUCUACCACUCCGCGGAUUGAACUCUCCGAAGAACACGCGGUGGUCUUUUCUUCUCAACAACUGGAACCACUUUUUCCAUUAGCUGCAGGAGAAUCAAUAAGAAAAUCAAUAAUCAAGUAAUUUAAGCUUUGCUAGCCAUUCUCAUCAUUGUAAUUUACUUUGCAAUAAAACAUUGCUACAUUUGUUCUGUCUAUGAUUUAUGGCAAUUUCAUAAAGCACCAGCAAAGCUACCCACUAGGACAGACUGCUUGACUGAAAAAGCAUGGUAGGAAAAUUAGACGGAAUUGUCAAUGUUUCUAUGCAUAUCAUCCUUGAAUCAAUCACAACAAUGAUACAACUAUACUUGCAGACUUGAAUAUAGUUGAAAUAUAUGGGUUUCUCUAUAUCACUCAUGAAUUAGAUUAUCCAAAAUCAACUUCCAACACUAAAACACAUUAAUUCCCAAAUUUGAUGAAAAGUCAGACAGAGUUGUUUUGUUACCUGCUUGUACCUCUCCUUAGUCCUCUCCGCCUGCACAGGAAGAAAUUUUGUUAGGCAAGAAUAAGAAAAAUCCAUAGGGGUAAAAAAGAACUUGAAGAGAGCUAACACAAUUAGUAUAGCCUCCAAUAUGCAUUUACAACUGGGCUUUCAUAUUAGAAAAAGGGGAUAAAAUUAGACCUCCUAAACCACAGCAAACUAAUGGAACAUAAGAGAGUGUAUAUGUAAUUGUUCAAUGCAAACAACAUAGUGUUAUGGUAAAUAUCUUAAAUUAUAUGCAUAAACCACUAUGCACUCGUGAUGCCACAAAUCUGAAAAAAGCUAAAUUGAAUUUAAGCAAUCAUCGGUAAUAAAACUCCCAUCUAGACAUUAUCUGUCAACUUCUAUGAGAAUGGGAUGAAGGUUGGAAAAGUACUGCAAGAGAACGAUGAAAGUUAGAAGUGAUCUCCAACUCCAAGUGAUUGCUAUCAUCAAUAAUUUUCUUCAAUUCUUAGUAAAUAAAUACCUCACAUAACAUCUAUCCUAGAAAACAUAACUAAUGAUUUAUAUAACAAUGUUUUUAAUGCAUGAUUUGUCCGACAACUAACUGUCAUUAGGGAUGUCCACAUAAAGUCUGUAACCAGUGUGGAAACAAUUUAUAAAUAAUGUGUGAAUAAUUUUUUUCAGGAAGCAGUGCUGCACCACUACAACCACAAAUAUAAGUUACUUCAAUAAGUUUACAUAUAUAGAUACACACACUAAGAAAAUAAACUUAUUAAUCUGUGCAUCAAGAACAGAAACAGAAAAUACAGGAAUGGCUCCUUCGUCCCCUAAUAGUUAAGCAUCUGUUGUUUUUUAUCUAGCAAACAACUUUGUUGUUUGGACCACUGAAAUCAAACAAAUCUUAAAGUUUGCUUCUCCAAGGAAAGAUUUCAAACAAGUAUUGAAAGUUAACUAAUUAAAUCACCACAUAUUUCAGAACUUCUUAGCUUGUGCUAUUGGUAACCUAACAAAAUUUCAGAAGACGAGGACAGGAAUUAACAGUUAAGAUAAGACGUCAUAUUCAAAAUAGAUCACCCACAUACAAUAAUCAAAAAAACCAAAUCAUUUAAAUUUAAGGCAUGUAAAUACUAGAAUACAAUCUUUCAAAUACCUUUACAUGGUAGAAUGUUAACUUGAGGCAGAGACAAUGAACAAAUAAUUCAUAACACUAUCUGAAAACUGAUAAAUGACAUGACCAAGCAUGCUUGCUAUGUGUUAUUGAUCAAUUUAUUAAUCUUACAAACUCUCUUCAGCAUUGGUAACAUAUCUAAUUACCUUUUCUUUCAACAGCUGCUCGUUUUCCUCCUCGAGCCUCACUGCCAAAGAUUCUAAUUCCACUUGAUAAGCCUGCAGAACACCAAAAAUUCCAAACCCAUCGAUCAACAAAACAAUCAGGAUAUGUUUGGAAUUGAGUUGCAGCCACGACCGCUAUAAAUUGAAAUCAGAGACAGUGAAGUACAGAUGGGUAGGUGUUUAUCAAACGCUUCAGCUGAUGUGCUAUCAAAUCAAAAGCCUAAUUAGAACAGAGUUUUGUGACCUGUUUCCUUUCCCUGGACCUAGCAGCGGACUCUCGGUUCUUGAUCAUCCUCCGUUGCCGCUGCUGCGCUGCCUUAUCCAAUGGCUCCAACAUCACUCUCCCUCUCUUCCCUCUCCCGCCAACAACUUCCACUCCAUUUCCAAACCCAACAAUGGCCCCUUCAACCUGAAAGGGACUCGCCGCCGCCGGCUGAUCAAACGCAUAAACUCCACCACUCAACCUCUCAGUAACAUUCGCAAAAGCUUUCACGUCCAUGUCAUCACCGCCAGCACUAUCCUCAACAGCUCCCGCCUUUGCCAAAAAAUCCUCCAAAGUCAUCAUUUCGUCAAUCGCCUCCUCCUUCAUCUCCUUCUUCUCCCCCGAUACGAUCUCCCUCCACACGUCGUCCACACUCUUCAUCGCCCCCGCCGAGACGGCGCCGUUCUGGUCGUUCUCGUUCGCGAUCAGAUUCGAGUUCGUGUCGACCAGAGUGAUUUGCGCGUCGAGAAGAGUUGCGUCCGUCGUCGACGCCGUCGUCGUGUUGUAGACGUUCCGUAAAAUGCCGUCCACCGUCAUUGCGGAAGCGAACUUCGACGCGUCAGUUAGUGCCUCUUGCUGCUGCUUUGUAGAAGAAGAAGAAGCAGUAGAGGACCGUUUUGAAAGAUCCGAAUUUCGUGUGUUUGAAGAUUUCAUGAUUUUAGAGGACGCCAUUUUAGGGCUAAUCCUCAGAGAUUCUCUCUAGAAUUUUUCUUUGUUUGCGUUAUAUUAGUUGUACUUUUACAAAAAUUUUAGGGUUUUGGGAAUCUGAUAAUUUGAUUUCUUGAUUUUGGGGAUGGUUUGUUACUCUGUUGGGAUCGGGGAGAGUUGAGGAUUUGACUGUUUUGAGUUUUAAGCGUUGAGUAAGAGAAAAGCGCGUGGGUUUCGUUUCGUCGUGAGAGGGAAAUGUUAGAAUUACGGACAAUAGCGGUGACUGUGACAAGAAACGGAGCGAAUCCGUCCGUCCACUCCUCGAUAGGACAAUGAGAUAUCACAUGUGAGUUUGUGGGGAGCCGACUGUAGACCAUUUCUACGAAUUUUUUUUCUUUUGAGAUGAUAUUUUUCAAAUUUUUUAAUUAUGGUAUGGGUGACGUGUCGAUCACCGUGCAUUGUGGCGCUCUUUGUAGUUUGGAUCUUCUUUGUUUCGUACUGGGUGACUGACUGAUGACUGUGGGCUGAAGAAAUGGGUCUGAUGUAUUGGGCUUUAAAUUUGCAACAUGAAUUAUUUAUUUUAUACCAUUUUCACAAAUAACAUGAACAUGAUAUUUAAUGAUAAAGUUAAAACAAGAAUAAUCUAUUAUAUAACAUAAUAAUAAUAAUUUUAUUAGUUAUAAAAUUUAUCAUAUUGUUAUAAUAUAUGAGUGUAUGACACAUAUGAUUGGAUCCAAGUGUUGGAAUACUCUGAUACGAAUACUUUUAAAUCUUAUAUAGAGUGUAUGGUCUUAAUUAUAAUAUAAAAUAUAAACCGCCCCCCACAUCCCACCCAAAAAAAAAAAAGCCUCAAAAAAAUUUACUUCCCAAAAUCUGAUUAAGUGACCCGAUUACUUUUGCACGCCCACAACAUGAAUCGUGUGUUCUAUUUGCAAAGAAAAUUGAUGUAAAUGGCCUAAAAUAUCAGUUAUAAGAUACAAGCAGCCGCCCGUUACCAAAAUUUGGGCACGGUGCCUGUGACUUUUAGACGUUACACCUAAUAUAAAAUACACACACGCAUAUUAUGUUACAAGAAAGUUAAGGUGAAGUAGCACAAAUUUAUUAAAUAUUGAUCGAUCAAUUUCGUGUCCGAGUUAACAAAUUGCGUGCAAAAUCCCGAUCACUCUGAGACGCACACUCUUGAAGUUGAGAUCUCCACGCAUAUCUCUUCAAGUUAAGCUCAGGGUUGAGAUUGAGGUUAUCUUCAAUGGACUUCCAAGAAGUUUAUUGAUUACUUGCAUGCAUUGCUUUCUCUUUCUCUCAAAUAAUAUGCAUGUUUUCUCUUCCACAUGAAAUGCCCACGUAAAAACCUUCCACGUGUAUACCAAAUCCACUUUUUUAAAUCUUUUUUUUUCCUUUUAAAUAAGUGAGAUGUAUAUAGACGGAGAAAAUGUUUGGAGUUUCACUUAAUUUUCGUUAUUAAUCAGAAAAAAAAGUUUAAAUAAAAGACGUAAUUUGGCAGCAGAAAAAACAUGAAGUUGUUAGGCGCAGCAAUUUGUGCCUUUACAGGUUUCUUGCCAACUAUUCUUUGCUCAAACCCUCAACGUUCCUUCAACCGUUCUCGAAACCAAACCCUAACUAAUUAUUUAAAUUAUUUCCACUUGCUUUGCCGUGAAUGUACAUUUAUACCCCUCCUACAAUUAUACAUAUGAAUCAUUUAAUUAAAUAAUUUUCUGAAUUUCUUCCACCUUUUUCUUCAAUAAUUGUAUAUAUUAAUUCCAAUUAAUCUAAUUAAAUUGAGAUGGAAAAACUCGAUUUUAUAAGUGAUAUAACUCAGCACGCAAUUCUAUUUGGCUCCACAUCUAAGAAUCUUUAAAUUAAUUUCUUGUAAAACUCAAUUUUAUAACUGGUGUCAAAGGCAAUAUUAAUGAUCAUCAUAACUGAAACACACGUACCCAUAUCUCACAGUUCGCAAGAAAGUGUGGCAAUCAUUCAAAAAAUCAUAAAAUUUCACCACAAUAAUUAGGUACUUUUUCUCUUAGAAAAGAGAUGAAAAUUUUCUCAAUUUUUCAUUUUAAAUAUCAAAAGUAUCUAGAAACUAAAUAAAAAACUAAACCCCCGAGUCUUGGAUAUUUUAACUUCUUUAACCUUAAAUUUGAAAGGAAAAUGUUAUUUUUCCCGGGUCAAACCCCGAAUUAUUUCAAAAUGGCGUCGUUUUGGCUUUUUUUUUUUUUUUCUUUUCUUUUUGGUUGCAUGAAACGUAGUCGUUUCAUCUAGUAAAAAGAAAAUAAACUAAAGCAUUUUCCUAAGGCAGAGAAACGAAGACGCUAUGCAGAGAAACAACUACUCUUAGCUCUUCUUCUUCGAUUUUUCAGUCACCAGUGUUGAAGCUCUUCCUCUUCGAUUUUUCAACAGCUGUUUAAGCUCUUCCUCUUUGAUUUUUCAGCAGCUGUUAAUAUUUUCUGACAUAAGACUAAAUUUCGACAUUUGCACAAGCUAAGGUACGAAUCUUAAAAUUUUCGAAGUUUCAAUUUCGAUUACGAAUUUCUAUCUCAUUUUUGUUGUCAAGUUUGUAUUAAAUCAGCACAAUUUCCAGACCAAUUCAAGCACAAAUUGUAGACCAACUCAAGCACAAAUUCCAGACCAAUUCCAGCAUAAAUUGCAAACCAAUUCAGCACAAAUUCCAUACCAAUUCAAGCACAAAUUGCAGACCAACUCAAACACAAAUUUCAGACCAAUUAAAGCACAAAUUACAGACUAAUUCAGCACAAAUGCAGACCAAUUCAAGCACACAAAUUGCAGACCAACUCAAGCACAAAUUCCAAACCAAUUUAGCACAAACACAAUUAUUUCCUUCACAUUUAAUUUCAACCGAAAAUUAAAUAAAACGAAAAUUGAUAGCUAUCAAAAUUGUCCCCAUUUUACCGUAACCUAGAAAAGCUAAAGAUCGAAGCAUUACCUGAGGCUGUGAUAACUGUGACGCUUCGUGAGUUCAAUGAGGGAUGCGUGUGAUGGCUGCCACGUUGACGGUGACCGUGCCUGCGCGAAUGGCAGAAACUUCCAGAUUUGGGUGGAAAAAGGAAGACGAGAAAACGAAGAGGGGAAGAUGAAAACGAAGAGGAGAAGACGCAAAUGAAGAACGAAUAGGAGAGCUUUUGCUAGGGUGAAACGGUAGCGUUUCAAAUAGAAGAGGAAACGGCGUCGUUUUGCUUUAGUUUUCGGGGUUUGACCCGGGGCAAAUAGCAAAACUCAAUUUGAAAUAUUGAGAAAUGCUAUAUAUAUUAAUAUAUAGUUGUGAGAGUUUUGCCGCAUUAGUGGUCCUGCCCAGUUCGAAUAUGAAUUAAUCAGGGUCUAAUAUGGUUUUUGGAUACCAGAUAAUUUAAUACAUCGAAAAAAAAAUUAAUAAGAUGAUGCUUUAAUACAACAAUAAUAACGAAGAUCCAUGCUAAUAGUUGGAUACACGAAAGAGGAAACAUAGAUUAUUGAAGAAUGAUGAUGAAGAUAAUGACAAAUUAAGGACAAUGAUCGCUCACAAGUUUCUUUUGGUUUUCGGCAAUAUUAAUUCCUAUUAACACAUGUGUAGCCACACAACUCAUAAUCAUAUAUAAUAAACAAACUAAUCAAGGGCAUGUUGGUAGUUUUGGACAAAUAUUUCUUCAGCCUCCAAGAUACCGUUUAGGUGUUAGAGAAAAGAAUGGAGUGUAAAGCUUACAAAAUCAUGCAACAGGAUAAACACAAGUUAAAUUAUGAAUGAUGAUGGAGUGAAUGAAGAAAUAAAGCCAACGACAAAAUUAAAGGAGGCUACCAGAUGCAAUAAAGGUUCCUCAUGAGACGAGGGCUGCUCAGCAAAUUUAGCCUUAAAGCUUGCUAAGAAUUUGGAUAAGUGAUUAAAAUUCUCUUUCUCUUUCUCUUUUGAUCAGAUUAGAUAGAGUUACCAAAGAGAGCGUUCAAUACAAUCCUUAAAACGCCUUUAAUAAUUUAGAGGCUUUAUAUAAAUGUGUGUAUUUUUGUUCAACUGACAAGCCUAGGAAGUUGAAUAUACCUGCUCAUAUAUAAUAUUUGCAUAAUACCCUUCAGUAUUUUCCUUUUAGGAAUCUUAAUUUUGUAUAUUCUUAGAAGAGAAUGAUCCAAUUGUGGGGUAUUUAAUUUUCUCACUGGAAGUGAGAACUCUGUUUGGUUUUUCUAAAUUAGUCUAGGAUAUAUCUUCAACUUUAUUCUUAUAUAAUUUAUAGGAAUUCAAUAAGAUGUGGGCAAAACUUAGAGCUGCAAACUCCAGAAGAGGUAUCUUCUAAUAGUGCAUGCACAAGCACACACGCAUCAUAUUAAUUGUUGCUUGUUUUAAUUUAUUACCAUCUUCUAUAUAUCAUUGACAACGGGACAAUCAUCAUGAGUUUUGCCCAAAUUUAUGCUUCUUCCAUGAAACAAAUUUUUUUCAUAAAUAUAUCGAAAUAAAGUGAAAUUUUGUUAUACUGAUUUUUUUUUCUUUUUUUUUUUUGUGUUCUUUCGGGUACUUGUUCCUUUUUAUCAUAUCAAAUUUAUGUAUAAGACAUAAGAAAGAAAAUGUUUAGAAUAAUUUACUUACAUAAAAUUUGUUAUUUAUUCAAUUAUUUGCAUAUUUUUCUCAUAGGUUGCUUGUUUUCCUCAUCUCAAAUUACAUGCAUGAAAAGAUUUCCUCAUCUCAAAUUUUUAUGUACCAUGUGUAUCUUUGAUGACUGAAAUAUUAAUUAUUCGUUAUAUUUUUUUUUUUAUUAUCUAUAUACAUCUUGAUAUCUAUAACGUCAGUUGAUAUUUUCUACAUAUAUCUUAAUUUCAGAUGACAAGGAAUUGAGAGAAGCAAGAAAAAGCCUGAACAUUAAUGAAGAAUAUCUCAGCGCACUAAGAACAAAAUCUUUUGCCGAAUGCUUCUCCAAGGCUCAAUUAUUCGUUACCGAGCCAUCCUCUCCAUCCUGCCGCCAUGAAAAUUUUUCUGAAAUCUUGCUUGAACCCGAUCAAGACACCAUACCAAGCAUUCUUGAAUCAGCUGUUCUUUCAAAGGUGCCCGAACUCAAAGACCUCUUGCUUAAUUACUUUGAUAUAAGUGCUGAAGCGUCAAGCAUUUGUGGCCAGCUCCUCAAGAACAUCAAUGAUGUUCGAUAUGAGUACCGGUUCAUUCAACUUGCCCUAGAUACGGCUGAUGAUGAUCAAACAGAACCUCACGAUAAAGUUAAGUUGAUUGUUUCAAACUUGAACUCGUUGAUUAUUUUAACCAACCCGUUUUCCAAUCCGAGUACGAAUGAAUUCAAGGUCAUUCAUGAUAAGUACUCUUCCGUGUUGCACAAUUUGAAAUCAAAGAGAAAAAAGGUGGCAAGAAAAAUUAAGCUGAUUAAUUAUGUGCAUAAGGCAAGUGGGAUUUGCAUAACAGCAGUCUGUAGCUUAAUUGCUAUAGCAGCUGUUGUUCUUGCAGCACAUGCACUCACUGCCCUACUCAUCGGGCCAAUGAUUUUAAGCUUCCCCACAAAGUGCUUCAAGAAAAAGCUCUUCAACUUUAGAUUCCUCAGAAGUGGGUUCCUAAGAAAAGUGAGGAAGCAGCUUGACGUGGCAGCCAAGGGGACUUAUAUCUUGAAUAGGGAUUUUGACACGAUGGGGAGACUUGUUGCUAGGUUACAUGAUGAAGUUGAGCACAACAAGGUAAUGAUUCGAUUUUGUUUGGAUAGACGAGAGGAUAAAUUUGCUUUGCAUGUAAUGAAAGAGAUUAAGAAGAAUCAUGUUGGGUUUCAAAAGCAAGUUGAAGAGCUUGAAGAGCAUGUGUAUUUGUGCCUUGUUACUAUCAAUAGGGCAAGGUCUCAAGUGAUUAAGGAAAUGGUGACAAGUUCUUCUUGUGUGGAAGAAUUAAGGUAGUUACAGCAAUUAUAUACAAGAAAUGUGUUGUAUAAAGUGUAAAUUAAAUUUUCUUUUUCUGUAAAAUAUAAAUAUUAUAUUUAAGCUCUUAGUUAUGAAGAAGACUACUAUUUGGAACAUCAAUUUAAAUUAGAUCAGAUUGAAUUCGAUAGGACUGUAUAAUGGUCUUUUCAUUGAAUGAAGUGAUGUAUUGGAAAAUUUUAAAAAUAUUGUAUUUGAAUGAACUAAUUUAAAUUUAUUUAUUACAUUUUCUAUGGAGUUUGGUUUAUAUGGUAGUGUAUGUAUUUGAAUGAUGCUUUUUAAUAAGUGAUGACUAUGACUCACCAAUUACCCACAUUGAUAUCGUUUCAUAAAAUUAAUUCAUGAUCAUCUAUUACCAACUUAUACUCAGAUUAGAUAAUAAUGAACAUUUUACAAUUUUCAACACUUAUAUAGAAGGUUUUUUUUUUUUUUUAAGAAUUUCCAAGACACAUACUCAAAUAAUUCUUUAUUACUCAUUAUCGUAAAAAAAUAGCACGCGGGUUUCCUUUCUCGAAUUCAAUAACUGCGAUUUCAAUCUUAAAAUAUUUGUUUUUGGUUUUUUGAUGCAGAAACAUGUCACAUGCGACACAAUCGAUCCUGGAAUUUGAUUGGGCCGAGGUUAGGCAUGUCCAUGGGAUGACAACUGUGGCCUCGAACAAGAUCAUAGCCAAUUAGCCAUUAUUAUUUUGGGUACAAUCUUAUGAGUAAAUGCAACUGAUAAUUAUUAUUAAGGUUCCAACUUUUUAGAUUAAAAAUUAACAUAUCACAUCUGUACAAUAAUUGUAUAGAACAUGAAUUGAAAAUUUAUGUUAAUAUAGCCGAGGUUCACUCUAAUUUUUUGAGAGAAAAAAUUGUUCUCGAAUUCUUCUUAUGAAAGAUUAAAUGUAAAUAAGAGAAUUUAUUUGUAGAUGAGUUCGUCAUCUGUCUAAAAUGAUUUCUAUUAAUAGUUCAUUAGCUUAACUUCUUUUAAAUUUUAAUGGAUAUUUAAAGCUCACACGUAAUCAACUAUAAGAAGACAAAUAGAUAAUAUAUUGAAAUUUUAAUAACUUAUUUGAAAAAAGAAAAAUUAAUGCACUCCAAUCUUUUAAGAAGACACAUACUUUUUUUUAAGGUAGGUACACACAAAAUUUUUUGAGCUCUUUAUAAAUAAAUAAAAAAAUUGUCAUCAACACUCUUGACUUUUUACUAUUAAAACAUGUCACACUAAACAAUAAAAAUAAAAAAUUUUCUACAUAAAAAAACUAACUUGUAAAACAACAAACAUUUUAGUAAUAAAAAAACAAACUUGUAAAACAACAAACAUUUUAGUAAUAAUUUAAUCACGGUUCUUAAUCCGCUGCGGAAUAUCCCUUUCUAGAGCCUUUAUUUGAUUGUUGAACUAAUUUAAUGAUGAUUAAAAAAAGUUAAAUUAGGAGAGAGAGAAACCAACACGAGCCUGGCUUACUUUCAACGAGAAGUGCACAUGUGUCCUGAGGAGAGAGAGAGAGAGAAACCAUCCAAAUGCAUCCAAUUAGGAGCUGGCUAAGCUGGAUCCGUAAGUUACAGAUUCUGUAACUUAAGCCAGCUCCAUAAGAAAAAAACAACACGAGCCUGGCUUACUUUCCUGCAUGGAAAUUGAAUCGAGCCAACCAAGCCAGCAGCAGUCCCGAAGAUUCCGAAUCUCAAGAUACCCGUUAAUAUCUUUUUAAUAAAUGUUUAACAGACGGAAGAAAUUGUAGAAGCACCGUUUACACAUAUGAUACAACUAUAAAUUCUUGUAUAAAUUUAUUUUGUACAAAUUGAUAUGGCAUGAUAAGAUUAGUUAAAUUAAAUAUCACUUGACCCACAUAAUUUGUUUUUAUUAAUUUAUAUUUUUAUUCAACCAAUAAAUUAAUGUCACGUCAGUUUGUACAAAAUAAAUUUAUACAAGAGUUUGUGGCUGUAUCAUUACUCUUUAUAAUAUGUGUAAACGGUGGUCCAAAAUUCGUAACGAGACACGUGUCACGCGAGGUCCAUCUAUGGUUUUCUGGAUACCGCACCCCAUUGGGCAUUGUCAGUUAAUAAAAUGAAAUUAGUGAAAAUAAUAAUCACGUCACUCAUAUUCACCAAAAAAUAAAUUGAUAUCUAAAUAAAAUAAAAUUCCAAAAUAUGUAACGUUCGAAAAGUGCUUAACUUCAAAUAUUUGAAGUAUGCAUAACAAAAUAGGUUACACACGUUUUUGCGUAAUUAUCAAAGAUUGUAUUAUGAUUUUGAAAGAGAAGGUUUAUAAUACAGUCGUAAGCAUCACAAUAUGAUAAUGGAGUCAAAUAAUUUUUAGAGAAAAAGAGUUAUGAUUAUAAAUUAGUCACUGUCAGAUUUUAUAGUACGAUCACAGUCUCGUGUUAUCGCAACAAAAUUAUAGCUUGACCCGUAAUCUGUAACUGUAGAAAGCCAAUCUUUUCUUUACCCCUCUCAUCGUCAUUUGAUCUCCCAGCAUCAGCAAAACCCUCAUUUAAAAAAAAAGAAAAUCACCAUUGGGUCCAUUUUUGGACAAAAUAUUCUAUCAUUUUUCGCCCCUCUCAGCACAAAAGUUCUAUCUUUUUUACUGGGUUUGCAAAAUCGUACGGCCUUUUUAAAUAUUUUUCAGCACAUAGUUCUAUAUACGGUGCUUCUGCGUGUUCUCUUCAACGAAUUAGUUUUAUAUUCACGAUUAAACGAAAUAGGUGGCCUUUUUUACUAUUCUUGCAAGUAAUUAACCAGGGAGGAGUUGUUUUUUUUUUAAAAAAAAAAAAAUUUGUUUCACGUUUUAUUAGUCUUUUGGUUUCAUAUUUUGAAGUACUUUUAAUAGUAAACGUUAUGUGAAGGUUUGCAUAAUCUUUGUUGAUUUUUGCGUUCGUUCAGUGAUUAAAUUUGCUAAUAUUUUUUUCCCCUCCACCUACCAUUCUCUGCGUGUGAUUGACUAGUGGGUCUGUUUUCUUUGGUUUUAUUGGUGUAAAUAUAUCUUAAUUUUAGCAUUUUACAGUUGAUAAUUUAUAAAUUGUUUUGGACUUUGGUGGCAUUUAGCCACUCUGUUUCGACCCCAGAAUCUUGAUUCUGGGAGCUUUUGUUUGGGGUGUUUGUACUUGUGGGUUUCUGACUUUUUGAUGAAGGGUUCUGGAGCUCUUUGGUGAAUGUUAAUAUUCGGGGGUUUUUGUUGAAGGGUUUUAGGGAUAGUUUGAUUUGGAGUCUUUGGGAAAAUGGGGAAUUGUUUGCUGGUGGGUUUACUUGUUGCUGUUGUUGUCUCUCAUUUUGAGUUUUUGAAUUUUGGUGAUUCUGUUGUUAUAAGGUUUUUGAGUUGUUGGUCUGGUUAGCUGCAAUUGCUGUUCAAUUCAGAAAUUUGAGCAGUGAGAACUUAGAUUAGGUUGAGUUGUAGUGGCGAUUUUAGUGGUGAUUUUUUUUGUUAAAGCUACGCAUUUGAUAUAAUGAGGAGUAAUGGGUUUGAUCAUCCACUAAAAGAUGUAGACAAGGAGGAAGGUGUUAGAGGGAGCAAGACACUGAACAAGGACUUGGGGCAGACUGAUGGUAUUGGUGAACCAAUGAACAAGGAAUAUAUGUCUUCAGAAAAAGAAUACAAUGCACGCGCUUUUCAGAGUUUAGAAAAACAGAAGACAAAUUCAUUGGAGCAGUCACCAGUUGUGGGGAUUUCUCUGUCUAAAAAGGAGGAUGUUCAUUCUUCACCUCGAGCAAGUUAGUAUCAGAAAAAAAUCUUGUUUGUAUUUAUGCAUUUAGAGCUUAUAAUUGACAUUGUUAAAUCUUCUAGGUGAAACUUUUACAGUGGUUAAUUUCAUUGGAUGCUCAUUGCCAACAAUUUAAUUUAUUACUGAAUUAUAGAACUUUAGAGUGUAAUCUGGGCUGCGCAUCUUGAUUCUGUAGUUUUGUGAUACGCAGCUGAACAAUUACUUAGUUGUUUAUUCGCAUCUUUUGGUAGAGAGUAUAAGUUUAUGAAACAAUACUUUGUUUUUUGAGUAUAAAAACUUAAUGGCCAAACUUCAGAACUAGAUAAAUGAUGAAUGUUAUCACUUUCUUCAUCUACAACCUUUAUUAAGAUGUUUACUGACGCCAUAUUAUCGGCUGUUUGAAGGUUUGGAUCAUUGCAUUACUGCACCUAUUACACGUAGAGAUUCACUUACUGAUAUGAAUGAGUUCAGAUACUCAAGGUCCAUGACAGAGAAGAAGUCGAUUCCGAGGCAUGACCUGAAAUUGGAUAGACUGUCAGAGCGUGAAAAGGUAUAUAACAAAAAUCUCAUGCAUGUGACGAGUUUUUCUGCUCCUGCCUACUCAAGAGCAUGAAAAGGUAGAUAACAGAUUCACUCGCACAUGACUGCAAGUUUAAAUGCUAUUGCUUGCUUGUAUAUGUUCAAGUUUAUCAUGAUGCAACAGUUGCCAAUGUGUUUCCUAGAUGUUGCAAUACAUAUCUGGCUUAUUUCUCUAACUGCAUACAUAGCACACUGAAUGCGCUUCCCCCUGAUUUCUUUUGAGGGAAAAUAAUAGCUCUUAUAUUUGAUCAUCCUAUGUCAAUUUAAUCCCUAAUGUUGAGAAAGAAUAUUGAAAGUAUUGUUUUAUGGACAUCAUUAUUUUGUAAUUUAACAAUUGUGGAACUUGUUGUCUGGUUCUUUCUCUUGUAAUGAAGUGGUUAACUAGUUCUUUCACAUUUUGGGACAAUCUGUUAUGGUUUUUGGUUAAACAAUCAUUCUUUUACGUUCUCGAUUAUGGAAGGCGUAACGAAUGCUUGUCUUUUUUUAUCUUGCCCUCAAUGUGUCUGUAUUUGUUUCCAAAAUUAUCUUUCUUCUAUGAUACUUGAUUUCUACAAAUCUUUUCCCCUCAGAAAAAGCUGAUUGUGGAACUAGUCAGGAUUCAAAAUGACGGGACUGUAGAAGUGGAUUUAGAUAAAAGUGCACCUGUAGCUUCAGAGUUUUUGGAAUUUCAACCUGUCGAAGGGCCACCUAUCAUUUUGGAUGACACCAGUUUUUCUGAUUCCAAGAAAUCGAUCCCAAGAUUGAAUAUUGCCAUACUUGUGGUUGGAACAAGAGGAGAUGUACAGCCAUUUCUGGCUAUGGCCAAGAAACUUCAGGCAUGCUUGACAUGAUUCAUUUUUCUUCCAGUUCAUGUUUGUUAAUAUUUGUGCUGUCACCACAAGUUUUUAUUUUCAAUGUAAUCUUAUUGCAUUAUGUAAGAGGUUAGGAUCAGCUUCUUUUGAGAUUUUAUUCUAUGCAUAAACCCUUUUGAAGGUUUCAUAUCGAGGCUUCUACAUGAUUUGAAUUAUUGAUCACUGUGUGUGAGUUAUGUCUACAUAUAUGUGGUUCCAAUGACGUUGUAUCUUAAUUGAUCUUCCAGCAUUUAAUUUGUGGUAGAAAAGCCUAGAUAAUUACAUAUUUUCUGUAAUAGUAAUCUAAUUAUUUGUAGUAAAAAAAUGUGUUUGGCCUUUUUCUGCAGGAGUUUGGUCAUCGUGUUAGGUUGGCAACCCAUGCUAACUUCAGGACUUUUGUAAGGUCAGCCGGGGUAGACUUCUUUCCUUUGGGCGGUGAUCCUCGGGUUUUGGCAGGAUGUAAGAGGACCCUUACUUGAAAUUUUUUGUUUUAAUCUUUAACUGCAAUAUACUUUCUUUUUUUUUCGGUGGUUAUUUUGUUAUAGGAUCCAUGAUUUAUUGUUCUUUGUUAGGUAACUCCUUUGUGUUCUUUUCUUUUAGAUAUGGCACGGAAUAAAGGUCUGAUCCCUUCUGGACCGGGAGAAAUAUCGAUACAAAGAAAGCAGAUAAAGGCCAUUAUAGAAUCUCUUCUUCCAGCAUGCACAGAUCCGGAUAUAGAAACUGGUGUACCUUUUAGAUCUCAGGCAAUUAUUGCAAAUCCUCCUGCUUAUGGUGAGUCCAUGGGAAUGGAAUGCUGUAUUUUGCCUUAGUUGUAUAGUUAAAUGUUUACAAGAAAAUUUGUAAUUGUAUUUAUACAUAAGAAAUUUAAGUCCAUCCAUGGGGCAGUUGAACAUGAAUUUUACAUGAGGUCUACUUAAGCUGGAAGUUUGGGCAUGUAUGUUUCUCUAAUCCAUCUGAGUCCACUUUGAUAAUUGAGUCCUUGCUCAUCCCUCAUUGGUGCACAUAAUUUUGGAUCUUGAUGACAGUUGCUCAAGUGCAAAUAUUUGAUAGAAUAUUUAUUUUAAGACCUUUAAUUUGCUAUUUAAGCGUGAAUGGAAUUGAAAACAGGAAAAAGAACUGAUUCUAUAUCCAUAUGUUUUUUCAUGGUGAGGUAUCUCUUUAACCGAGCAUGAAAAUGAUAUUUGCUUGUUUCUGAGAGGGAACAAUUAUGCAAUAAGGAUAUGGAGCCAAAAGAGGAAGAACAAUUAUGAAGAUGAGGGCUGCAAAUGAAAUGCAUCUUAAAAUCAUUAGAUAAUCCCCAGUUGUUGACUAGUUAAUAAAUUACUUUCAGUUGUCUUUAUGCAGCUCGAAGUCAUAUAUGAUUUCAUCAGAAUUUUGUCAUUCAUGAUAACAUUUAUGAACUUACACUGCAAUUUUGAUUUUUCAUCUCAUUGAUCUCAUUCUAUUUUAAUUAUUGAUAUAUUUUUUUGAAUGGUGUAACAUUAAAUUUUGACAUCUUCUUUGGAUUGCAGGGCAUGCCCAUGUUGCUGAAGCUCUUGGUGUACCCAUUCACAUUUUCUUUACGAUGCCAUGGACGUGAGUUUUGACUAUCCUUGCACGUCAAUAUGUGUUUUAUAUUGCUUUUGUAACCCUAGUAUGAGGCCAUAAAUGUCGAACAUUUUUAAACUUGAAUACAAUUUCAUUGAUAAAAUAAUAGAACUCAAAAUACUAUUGUUGUUCCCUGACCUAUUAGCUUAAGUUUUUGGGUUGAUUGCUUUUUCAAUCAGUUUUUGUGUUGGCCUGUUAUAGCUUAAAAUGUACCAUUGUGAUUUUAUCUGUUAACAUAAGCUUUUGAGUAUGAUGAUAACUUAAUAAGUACACUUGAAAAACAAUGAAAUAGUUUAAUUCUUUCCAGUGUUAAACUCUGUGACAUUGUCUGAUACUGUUUUUACUAGGUUGAAAUUAUUCAAGCAUAACAUCACUUCUUUCCUUGAAUUAUAUUUGGAGAGUGUAUUUGCAAAUUUUUCCUUUCAAGUAACUUAAAUUGGUCUUCCAUGUCAAGAACAAUGAAUUGGGUACAUGUCACAUGUGGUACCUUGACUGAAAAGAAUUCAAACUCUUGGGGAAAGGAGGAUUUGCUGAAAAAUAUGGCACGCAUAAAUCCUUUGUGCAAACAUGAUUACAAAAACGUUGACAUUGUUAAAGAACAGGGUUGCUGCAUUCUGGAUUGUCAUUUUCUGACUGCCAUGAAACUAAAAAUGCAGCAGGGCAAUUUUAAAUGGUAAAAUGGGGAGAUAUAGAACAAGAGCUAGUAUGAAUCCAAAUACGCAUGAGAUAAGUCAUGGACAACUGCAUGUUAUUGUCAAAAGCUGGUUAAUAUCAAGUAAAACUUUGUUUGAGACUUCCUACUUACUUCUAUUCUCAAUAGACAGGCCAACUUAUGAAUUUCCUCAUCCGCUGGCACGUGUACCCCAAAGUGCUGGAUAUUGGGUAUGUUCUUGACUGUGGCCAGUCCACCUUUUUUGCUCUCGCCUUUUUCAAUGUUGGUUUUUCCACUUUGUUGGUCAUGCCUGCUUACUUGCAUUGACAAAUCUGCCUUUACUGUCUCAUACUUGCUGAAUCCAGCUUUCUUAUAUAAUUGUGGAUUUGCUGAUAUGGUGGGGCAUUAGGAGCUAUAUUAAUGACUUCAGGAAAAGGAAGUUGAAGCUUCCCCCUAUUGCAUACUUCAGUACAUACCACGGAUCUAUAUCUCAUUUGCCAACAGCCUAUAUGUGGAGUCCCCAUCUUGUGCCAAAGCCAAGUGGUGGGUUUAUUACUGACAAUGGAAAUAUUUGCUCUUUCUAUAGGAUUGACUUCGUUCGCCUAUUGCAGAUUGGGGCUCUUUAGUUGAUGUUGUUGGAUAUUGCUUAUUAAACCUUGGGUCGAAGUAUCAACCACAAGAAAACUUUGUUCAGUGGAUUCAAAGAGGACCCGAACCUAUUUAUAUAGGGUUUGGUAGCAUGGUAUGUGAUCUCACUAAAGCUUAUUGAAAUGAUUUAUAGUUCAAAUUUUCUUUGUUAUGUUUUCUUAUAGUUCCUUGUCAUUGUUGGAGGCCAUCAGGCCAAUAAACUGCAUUUUGAUGAUUUAGUGGGAGGGUUCCACAUUCCAGUCAGAGUAAUUUGACACUAUAGACCUUUUUAUGAGAAGGAAAUAAUGAAAAUUGGAACCUUCUCUGUUCUUCUGAAUUUUGAACUCUUUUGCCAGUGAAGAUUGCUGCAAAAUUCUUAGACACUACACAAAAACAGAAGUCAAGAACACUAGUCUUGGAAAUUCAUCAGAAUCAUAAAGGAGUAAUUCUGAUUCCCCUUUUUGGGCCUCCGACCCCCUGUUAAAAUAAUUUCUAAUUUUCCCAUUGCUGAUGGUGUCCUAUGUUUUCUUUAAUAAUACUCUACAUGUAAUUGACUUUUGUGCAAAUACUUUAGCAAUAUUAUUGGAUUUUUAUUUUUUUUCCUUUCCCCCUGUUUCUUUUCGUGAAUGUUAGUAUUGAGAAUGCAAUUGUUACUUGUUAAGCCUCUUGAAGAUCCCAAGAAAACAACAGAGAUUAUAUUGGAGGCACUGCAGGAUACCGGACAAAGAGGAGUUAUUGAUCGAGGUUGGGGAGAUCUUGGAAAGAGUAUGUUGUUUCCUUUAUGUUUGCUGCUUUCUGGUUAGCUGGUUGAUGCUCAAAGAUUUUGCCGCAUGGCUAGGGAAUAAGUUACAAAUUAUAGUUUCUGGGUUGAUGUUUACCAAAUUUUGCUUCAUGCCUACCAGUGUACUAUAGAUGUCAUAAAGGCUGCAAUUGCACUUAAAUAAGGAACAUUAACUGAAGAUUUUUUCAUUAUGAUUUAUCUUUUUAUUUUAGAAGCAUUUACCUUGGUUGAUUGGUGCUUUUCAUCAACUCAGGCGAUACUUCUAUCUUGCAAUUGAUUACAUUUUAGGAAAUCAUUCAUUUUCAAACUAUUUGGAUCAAAUAUUCAGCGGCAAGGAUCAAAUUACAAAUAUUUGGAAAUCAUGAAUUUAUUACCAAGUUUUUCCAUGUAUAUUUCCUAAUUUUCCAAAUUUAUUUUUGGCCAUUAGUGUGCUAAAUGAUCAUUCUGAAAAUAAUAAUUUUAGGUUUUUCUAAUUUUCAAAUAUUAUUAUAACGGGUUCUUUGUGUUGUAUGAUGUGUUUGAUUUGUGUGUUUUCCAAUAAAUAAAUAGUGUAGGUGUCUAUUGCUAGUUUUGAAUAUUUUCACCAAUGAGUUAUGCAUUUCCCAACUUUUGCUUCUUAAUGCUUGUACUGUCAAAUGAUGAUAUUCUCAAGGGCCAGCUCCCAGAAAUAUUGAAACUUUGUAAAGUAUCUCAUAUAUGUAUUUAAAAUGACAUUAUUAUUAUUUUUUCCUAUUUACAAGAAAUAGACCUGUGGAACAUCUCUGACAAAUCAUUUUGCAUUCUACAGUUACAGAAGUUCCUGAUAAUAUAUUCCUUCUAGAGGAUUGCCCUCAUGAUUGGUUGUUUCCUCAAUGCUCUGCUGUGGUGAGUUUUCUUUUAUCCUUCCUAAAGUGAAUUUCUUUAUGUGGAUAUAUGUGGUUAUCGCUACUUCAGUGUGUAGCAUAAUUAAGGAAUGUAUGUUCAGAAAACAUAGCUGAUUGCAGCACCCAAAUUAGAGGUAAGAGGAAGAAUUUUGUGGUAGUGAAUAGAGAUGUGUUCUUAGUUUUGAAUAUGGGUGGACUUAUAACCAUCUAAUAUUGACUAAAUAACAUAAGAAUUUUAUGGCAGAUUAUAAAGAUUUUAAAUAAAAAAUUAUACCUCUAAAGAUAAAACCAAAAAAUGCUUCAUGUUGCUGUUGAAAAUUAGUUGUUGAAUAUGACAAACUUGAAAGAUAAAAUGAAUAUCAAGUUGUAAAGUUGUUUAUUUUUUUCCUCUACCGCACUAAUAAAAAACUUCUAAGAGCGUAAAACUUAUCAAGCUAUUUGGUAUGAGUUACAAGGCUCCAAUCUUUGCAAAAGGCACAAACUAUAUAUAUAUGCUGGAGUGAGACUAGAAAAAACAGUGUGUAAGGCAUGCCUCGCUCUGAUCCUCCAUGCCUUACUUCGCCAUGGAUGAUGUGAAAUUUUUAAUAGUGCAUUCUUCUUUGAGUGUGAUGCAAUUAUGUUUGUGAAAACUCAAUUAACUUGAAGCCUUAUGCCCUGGAUGUGCAGGUUCAUCAUGGAGGAGCUGGAACUACAGCUACAGGGCUAAAAGCUGGGGUAAUAUUCUGUAUUUUUUUUUCAUUAUUCUUCUGUACUGCAUUCUGAAAUAGAUCUUUUCAGAUGAGUCCAUAUAGUUAGAUCUUACGUUACGAAAGACACUUGGUCAUAUGUCUGACUGUUUGUAAUAGAAAUUAUUCAACUGGCUGAUCUUGUCUAACAUCAAAUUUAUUAAUUAGUGUCCAACAACCGUUGUUCCUUUCUUCGGAGACCAGUUCUUUUGGGGCGACAGAGUGCAGCAGAAAGGGCUGGGACCUGCACCAAUACCAAUAUCUCAGCUUACUGUUGAAAACCUUUCAAAUGCUGUAAGAUUUAUGCUGCAGCCAGAGGUAAUUUUGGAGUUGGCAUUCCUUUUUCAGAAUCUGAAAAGUGACACCCACCAGAGACUUCAGAGAUUUUGGUUCUUAACUGGACUUUGGCUCUCUCAGGUGAAAUCCCGAGCAAUGGAGUUAGCGAAGUCGAUAGAGAACGAAGAUGGUGUUGCCGCUGCAGUUGAUGCAUUUCAUCGGCAUUUACCUGAUGAGAUACCAAUGCCUUCUGCGUUACCAGAAAAAGACGACGGGCCUGACCCUUUGCAGUGGUUUUUCAUUCAAAUUGGAAAUUGGUGCUGUCAGCGUUGUGGUGGUGUGUAAACUUCAUAGGUCAACCUAGUGUUUUAUAGGUACUGUUUUCCCUUUCCAAUUUUCUUUCUUUAUAUUUGUUCGUAUCAUUUUAGUUGAGCAAUCCAUUCUUUCAUUUGUGGCUUUUAUGUACCUGUUUGAUUGAUAGGAAUAGAAAAAGAAACAUACUGGUGUAGAUUUCUCAUUACAUUUGCGGUAGUAUCAUUUUUCUUGCAGUAGUAUCAUGUUUCUCCUGCCUGUGUAUAAUGACAGAUCAUUUUAUUAUAAGUAUUAUCGACUUAUUAUAAGUAUUAUCGACUUAAGCUUGAUUAUCAAAUCUAUUUAUGUGCUGUCUAGCUUAUUUUGUUCUGAUUGAACAAAAUAUCAUGCCCAUAAAUGUGCGCAGGAUUCGAAUCUCACAAUUCCUACUUAUAACCAAAUAAUUAUCCAGUUUAAUGAUAAGGAUAUUAUCCUAUAACUACGUUUUUUUUUUUUUUUUUUUUUAUGUAUAAUUUUGUCACCAAAGUUUUCUGGCAAUUGCCUUUUUCCAUUUCAUGUUUCAGUUUUUAUCUGUUUAUCAUCAAACCAUUAACUCCAUUAAGAAAUUGCUUCUAAUAGGGGUAUUUUAGAAAUUGUAAUAUUUUUAGUAUUUUAAUAGUUUUAUGGUGUACAAUAUUUGUAAUUUUAUCAAUUGAUUAUUUUAUAUAUAUAAAAUAAUCAAUUGACAAAAACAUUAUCUCUUUGUAUAUAAUUAAUUUUAUAUUUUUUUAUUAUUCGAGGAUUAAAUUGUACUUACACAAUUUAGGAGUAAAAUAGUAAAAUAGACUUUUACUACAACUACUACUAAAAUUAUGUUAUUUUUAACAAUUUGGUAGAAAAAUGAUAAAAAUUAAAACAAAAAGUGGGAAAAAUACAGUUGUCGUAAAAUUUUGGUGAGAAAGUGAAAUGUUAGAAAAUAUUUAAGUGGUAAAAUAAUAGUAUUGAUGUUAAUAGAAACAAUUAAAAAUAAAAAAUAAAACGAGCAUGAAAUUCAAUCAUACAGCAAUGUAUCUAUAGUAUAUUAGACAGCAACUAUACGAGUGUACAUAGUAGAAAGUUCCUCAUAUAAUAUAAUGUGUACGGCUAACUUGCUACUAAAAUAGCAAGAUUUACACCCAUCAGUGAUUAUUUCUUGUAAAGUUUGAUAUCUCUCCAUCUUGAGUCCAUGUAAUUGCUCGAGCCUGCAGGAGCAGCAUAAACACCGCAUUUGAAAUACAAGUCUCCGGGUCCCUGAUCAUUCACCACAAACUUCUGUUCGCCGUCGAUGAAAACUGUGAUCUUCCCUUUUCCCACAUCAUGAAUGACAUUGAGUCUGAACCAUUUAUCGUACAGAUCUGUCGCCACUACGUUGAAUUUAUAGUAUUUCAUAUCUCCAUUAUAAAUUCUAAGUUGCAGGGUUGUGGCUCCCUCGGAUGCUCCAUGAAUCUGCAUAAUUGUUACGCCGGAUGUGCCUUUUGGGACAUAAGCAUAGCCCUCAAAUUGCCAAAUUCCGGAUGAGUAAUCAUGCCCCUGAAAUAGAGUCAAAAUACUUGAGAAACGCCCUGAAAAAUUCAGCUUAUGCCUUGAGGUACAAAUUAACGUGAACCUUUUACCUUUAUGCGCACUUCAGUACGCGGUCUGGUGCCGCUGCUAGACUUGAAGGGCUUGUCGUGGUUGUAAACCCAAAAACUUCGUACCCCAUCUUUGUCACUGUAACGAGUUCCCAGGGGUUCGUUGUAAGGUUUCUGUAAGAUGAAAUUUUCCUCGGCUAACGCCACUUCAGUGAAUCCAUCAGUAGGAUCAGCGCCAAAAAUUUGAUGGCAUUUCAUAGAGCAUAUAACAAGUAACAACAGGAAGCUGUAGUGGCAAGACUUACUCAUUUUCCCAAAUUCUUCUGGCAAGUACAGAACCUGUGAAGCUAAUUACCACCCCAGUAGUAUCUUGGAUGCAUUUUUAUAAUCAGAUUUUACAGGGGGUUUUUCGAGUCCAAACAAUAUUGAAAUCAGCUGGUUAAAUUUAUCUUCUUGUUGCGGGUAAAUAAAGUAAUAGGAAAACUUUUCGGCAAGUUUCUGACCAUUGACUGCUAUGAUUGUUUUUAUCAAAUCAAAGUGGGAAUUAUGUGCAAAGAAAAUUCAGCCAAUUAUUAUGACAAUUGAUAGCGAGUCUUAGGAAUACAACAUUGUUGUCUCUGUAAAUUGUCAUAUAGCAUCACUUCACUAGUUUAUCCUACAGUAUCCACGUCAUUUAGAGGUUUUGCUUUGUCAGAUUGAAUUAGUUUGUAUUAUUUUGCUUAUCCUUUACGGUAUAGCUUCGCUCUGAGAAAAUCAAAAUCAUUUUCGAUUGUCACUCUUUGUACACACAUAACCGGAAUAAAUUUUUAUCUUGCAGUAAGAGUGAUCUAAAUUUUUAUCCAGAGGAGAACGAUUUUAUUAUAUACAUGUAUGUAUCCUAUUCUUCAGCUUCCAAUUUCCACAAGUAAACUGGGGACACCACAUUAUGUUUCCAUUUCAUCAAAUUCAUGUUAAUGUUAUCCAAUUCAUAUAUAAAAUCCCACAUAACAGAUUGCCUUUUUGACAUUUUUGACACCACCAUUAGAAAAGGCUAAGGUUCGUCAUCCUUUUUUUUUUUUAAUCAAUGCUUAUGCUCUUGAUUUUCUGCCCCCAUAAUUUAUGAAACUGCUAAACAAAUUUAGUGCAAGUUUGGGCAUCAAUGGAUUUUGCUUAAAACAUGGAAACCCUAUCAUACAGGCUUUUUGUUCUCUGCUUGUUUCCAUUUCAUUAUCACUUUUGCUCAUCAAACUGCCAUCACAUUUUUGUUUAUUUGCUUUCCAUAACUAACCUCAAUUUCUAAUUGGAGAAUGAUGCUGCUGCCAACUUUGUCUUUUGUAGCAUUGAGAAGCCUAAGGUUAUUUUGUUUGAUUACUUAAAACUUCUUAAUGUUGACAUUUCUGGCCCCAGUUUGAAUAUUUUGUCCAAAUUAUUGUCUCAACUCAAAUUUCGGAAGUAAUAUCAUUGAUAUUGGAUUGAUUCCUCAUCAGACUUGUGCAUUAUUUAUUCUCUUAACAUUUUCUGAAGGGGGUUCGUUGUGUUCCUUUGGAUGUCUUCUUGUUACUGUCAGGUAUAUGGAAUCUAAACUGGGGAAUAUAUUUGCAGUUUAAUUUCCUAAAUAUAUAUUGUAAAAUUUAUUCUAAAAGGGGAUCACACGCAGUGCUUUGCGGAAUUGAAAAUGAUUCAAUGAGUCCAGGACAUGCAAUUUUUCCAAGCUCAUUAACCUAAGAUUUUCCCAACUUAAUAACGCUUUCUGGGUGAAAGAUGCUUGUAAGGCAGGGGCACUUGUUACAUCCCCACAAGUGAAUGCGAAUCUUAAACAAUCUAUAAGUCUCUGAUAUCUCUACUCAGUUUCCCGGACUGGACGCCGGUCUAUUAAUUUCUUCAUAGUCACAGCUCCAACGUUACACAAUUUACACAACAGAGCACACAGCUAGCAUCAUAAAACCUCCGAAAUUUAUUUCUCAACCCAAGGUGAUAACAAUGAGCUACAUUAUUCUUAAGUUCAGGAUUCACACUUCUUAAAAAUUUUGAUGUCUCUCCACCUAGACUCCAUGUAAUAGCUUAUAUUAGCAGGAGCAGCAUAAACUCCACAUUUGAAAUGCAAGUCCCCUGGCCCUUUAUCCUUGGUUGCAAAUUUUUGAACACCAUCAAUAAAAACAGUUACCAUCCCACCAUCCACAUCAUGAAUGAUAUUAAGCCGAAACCACUUGUCGUACAGGUCAGUAGCCACCAGAUCAAAGCUGUAGUACCUCAUGUCGCCGUUAUAGAUCCUUAGGAUCAACGUAGUAGCCCCGUGAGCUGCGCCGUGAAUCUGAGCUAUUGUAGCACCAGAGGUUCCGUUUGGCACAAAACCAUACCCUUCAAAUUGCCACACUCCUGACGAAUAGUCCACGCCCUGCAGAAAUUCAAAAGAUUAAAGAACUUAACAGCAAAGUGUCACAUCUUUAAUCUUCUUUUAGAAACCCACAAACAUAUUUGAUAUUUUGCUGAAUUUAAUUAAGGUUACGCGUAUGCGGAUUUCUGUGCGCGGUUGGGUGAGGCUGUUGGGAUCAUGAGGCUUGUCAUCAGCAUAGACCCAUAAUUUGUGCACCCCAUUUUCAUAGCUGUAACGUUCUUCCAGUGGUACAUCAUAUGGUCGUUGCAGUUCCAAGUUUUCAGGUGUCAAUGCCACGGGGCUGAAGCCAUAUGUGGGAUCGGCAGAAGCAUAACACAGAAUGAUUUUGAACUUGUUCAGUAAAACCACAAGAAGAACAAAGGGAAGCAUGUAGCUUUUGGGCUCAACCAUUUUGGUCAGUCACUUUGCCUGGACUUGAGAUGCUCUGUGUGAAGCACUAGCCACCAGGCAAGUAAAUACAUAUAUAUAACUCAAGUAACCAAUUCUUCCAAUCAUGCCUUGCUAUGAAAUAAUAAAUGUUAUCUUAUCCACCUAAUGUGUCAAGGUGACAACACUCCUUGCUAAAUAAAAUUUUAGGAAAGACCCACAACUAUUUAUUUUUUUUCCUUUAGAAAAGUAGAAUAUUCAAUUUUCCUUAGCCGUAUUAAAUUUCUCGUCACGCUAUUGGGCCUUAUACACCUUGCGCCUGCCAUCUUCUUUCAUUGGGCCUGAGAUCCAAUAAUAUUGUUUUUAAUUGUUAAUUUUUUGAAUAAAUGAGUAGCAAAAAUAAAAACUAAUUAACUUUUAAAUGGGCUUUUAAUCUGCAAACACAAUCAACAGCUUAUUAAUUAACCUAUUCACAUAAUAAUUAAUAACUGGAUAGCUUUAUUACCAUUUCUACCAAUAAUAAAUUAAUAAUAAUAACAAACUUCAAUUAUGUACAGUUAGGAGACCAAAGUCUUCAGCUCUUGAGUUCACUACACUCCAGUGACAUUCCUUCGUCGGAGAUCAUGCGGUUGCCGGCGGCGAGGAGCGGCGGAGGUCUGGGCAUCGCCGCCAUGUCUUACAUCUUAAUAGACUACCUGCGCCACCUGUCUCCAGCGUGGCACGCGCGCUUGCAGCCGGUGCUCUGGACCGUACUGGCUCUGAUCGCCAUCACACGUGUCCCCUAUUACAGGCACUGGACCGCCGAGUUCCGGGCGGCAAUUCCAUUCGUGGGUUCAAUGAUUUUCAUGCUAUCUGCUCUUCUCUUCGAGGCUCUCUCCGUUCGCUUCGCUACUGCAGUGCUUGGCCUUGAUUGGCACAGGUAACUGUGCUGGACAUAAAGAUAUAAACCUUUUGUGGUUUGUUUGAUUCUGUUGGUCAGUUUUAUAUUUUUAUUCUUUUUGGAUCUAAUAAUGUUGCGAGGCAACCUCUACUGUAGAAUGGAAUUGAUGACCCAGGAACUUAUCAUUUUGUUUUUCCUUAAUCGUCUUUCAAAUUCCGUAUUUACUGGUGAACUUAGCUCAAAAGUACUGAUGACCAAGCAACUUAACAUUUUCUUAAUUGUCAAAUCAUUGUAGCUUUAAUGUCCCUGUAUUCAUCACAAACCGUAUGGAACAUUUAUGACUUUAAAUCUGGUGUUGAUUAAUGUGUAAUGUUCACAUGAAUUAUCUUCUGCAUCUCUAGGUUUUUCUACUUCCCUUGAGUUGAGAGACAAUACGUUUCAGUUUUUAGCUAUUUCAUCUUUGAGUAUCUUCAAUGCUUUAAAAACAGGAUUAUUGAUUGGCUUGGCAAUGUCCAACAGUGAUACAGAUCCUCUGCCUGAUACUGGUCAGUGGUUGCUCCUGGCAUUAAAUGAGAAACUUCCUGGAACAAUAGUCCAAAUAUUGAGAGCUCGUAUCAUUGGGCUACACCACUUUCUGAUGUUGUUUAUGAUGCUGGCUUUCUCUGUACUAUUUGACUCUGUAGAAGCUCCUGGCCUUGGGCUAGGUGCAAGGUAUAUGUUCACUAUGGCAGUCGGCCGACUCCUUCGGGCCAUAACAUUUGUAUCUACCAUUCUGCCGUCAGCCCGGCCUUGGUGCGCUUCGGCAAGGUUUAGAGUCCCCGCGUACCCUCAUUACUGGGCACAGAAAUAUUAUGUGCCUUAUGCUUCAGAUGCCAGUGCUAUUCGUCAGAUUAUAAAUCAGGAUAUGGCUUAUGGUAUGUGUUGCUUAUCAAAUUCAAUUUGCGUUGUCUCCUUGGCUAUCUGGAUUUAGUGUCUGAGUAUCUUCAUUUUUUGCUGGGAGUCUGGGACCCCAAUUGGAUGUGCUGCUGAGUGCUCUGUCAGCUUCUGUUUUGUGUUGAUACUCUUUUGUUUUCCAUUCGGCUCCUCUCCUUCAUUUCUUCCAACUGAACAUGGACUUAGGAUUUAGGUAAUGGAUGAUGUUCAAUGGCCCUAUACUGACCACUAUAAUUCAACUGAUAAAAGCAAAUUAUUCUGAUUAUCAAGUCAUGCAAUCAAGUGCUUGUGGCUCAUGCCAGAUGAAAUAGAUUCAAGAUUCCUAACUGUCUUUUCUAGAUAGACUAAACUUUACUGAUGAAAUAUGACAGUACCUAUCUUAUAUGAGGCAUUCGUUCUUCAAUAUGAUGUGCUAUCCUAAAUUCAUAUUAAGUUUGUCUCAAUGACUGGAAGGGUCCUGUUAACACCUCUAUUAUCUUUUUCAGCUGAUGUUGGUAAUUAUCCGAGUGACUAUCGACUGGAUUGGGGUUCUAUGAGUUUCUUAAUUGACUUCCUGCGACCGACUGCAUCAGAAGGAUCUUCAUGGUUCAGUCUGCUGAAGAAAGCUGGUGGUGGCUGCAAUGACCUUAUAUACAGUGGUCACAUGCUUGUUGCUGUACUGACAGCUAUGGCUUGGACGGUAUUCAUACAAAUCCAUUGUCAAGCAAUGAGAAUAAAUGACUAAUUACAUACUCUUAUCAGCCUUUGUUUCUUAAAAUGAUUGCAGGAGGCUUACGGAGGCUUUAGCUCGGCUCUCGUAUGGCUGCUUGUAAUGCACAGUGCCCAGAGAGAAGUUCGGGAACGCCACCACUACUCUGUGGACUGCAUUGUGGCAAUAUACGUAGGCAUCCUCCUCUGGAAGAUGACAGGUUUUAUCUGGCCACUCAAGGAUGCAUCCAAGAGUAAACGGCUCAACAAACUUGAUAAAAUCCAAAGUAGACUACUCCAAGCCGCUAAAGACUCGGACAUGGACAAGGUAACCGAGCUUCUCAAAGAAGUUGAGCUAGGCGGUCAAGAAACCCAAAACAAAGGCCCCAGCAAGGGCCUGUGGUUGUUUGCAUGCGCCAUAAUUUUCUUUGCACUCACCAUUGUUGUACUCGCCUUCACGUUGACGAGCGAUGGAUGAUUUUUUUUCCGAUCUGCACAUUGUUGUAUUUCUAUGUAGUGCAACAUUUUGUUAACGGGGAAAGGUUUUGAUUUUUAUGCUGCCAGAAAUGGUGUUGGGAGUAAUAAGACAAUUUUAGCAGACAAUUUUAGCGGCAUAACAAAUUAACAAUUAACACGUUGAUACAAAGGAUGACUUGUAGCUGUAUUAUGUGACCUUUAGGUAGCUCCUUGGCUUUUUUCUGUUGCUUGGGCUUUCUUAUUUGGAUGAUGAUUGGAUCCUUGAAAUUAUGUUUGAGUUGGACCAUUGGCACCUCUCUCAUCUCCUCAUAAAAUCUCUUUUUUAGUUAUAUUUAUUUUAUUUUUGAAAAUAUCCUUUUUUUUAGAUACACUUUUCUAAGUUCUUAAUUUUUAUUUGAUUUGUUUUAUUAUUAAAACUUAAAGUAUUAUUGUGCUAUUUUUUAUUUUCAAUUUCAUUAUUAAUCUACACACAAAUUAAAAAAUUAUAUGGGUGAUAAAUUUUUUAGUGUUAAUCAUUGGUUGAAAUAACACAUAUUUUAAAUUAUAAUUUCAAAGUAAUUUUAAGUAUAAAAAUAUUUAAUCAAUAAGAAAUCAAAAGAGAACAAUAUAUUAUUUUAAAUUUGUAUAAUUUAUUUUAGUUAAAUAGGAAGUAACACAUAUAUAUAUAUAUAUAUAUAUAUAUAUAUAUAUAUAUAUAUAUAUAUAUAUAUAUAUAUAUAUAUAUAUAUAUAUAUAUAUAUAUAUAUAUAUAUUGAAAAGAAUUAAUUAUGAAUUAAGUAAUUUGCUGGAAAAAAAUCUUUAUGUGUUUAAUUUUUAAUUGUCCUUAAUUGUAAUUUUAUUUAAAGUGGGGUUUUGUAAGAAAAAUGUAGGGGUGCCAAUAGCUCCACUCAUUAUGUUUUUAUUUAUUUUUCAAUAUUUAUUAUGAAUCCUUUUGUCAACUCCUUUUAUGACCAUUUUAUCAGUUUUGUAUAUAAACAUCUAAAUCAUGAAAAAUAGUCAUAGUUAUGUUUAAAGGAAAAAGUAAAAGAAAAAUUAGUUAAAAGAAAAAUUAAUUACAUUCACCAGAUGAAUUUCAAAAUAAAAAUGCCACGUGGGAUUAAAAUUCUCCAAAAAAAAAGGCUGAACACUCUUAAAGUCCCGUCACUAGCAAGGAAAAAAGAAAAAAAAAAGUUCAGAAGCAGAUAUUCUUCAGAGCUUAAACGAGAGUCUUUUGCAACCGUCCGAUAUAAACACAAAAGAAAAUUUCCAACCAUCCGACGAUUCACAAUACGCCGAUCUAGUGAAUUAUCCUACUAUCUGCCCAGCAAAUUCAUGCCGCGGUUAUCUAUCUUGCCUCCGCAUUGCACCUACCAAAUAAACAGAUUCUUUUUCCCCUCCAAACCUGUUGCUCUCUGUCGAUUACAUCCAAAAUACAGAGCUAAAAUAUUUAUUUUAGGAAAAAGUUUGAAAGUCAAUUGCAAUGGCGAUUUCUUUGACGGCGUCUACAAUUCCUUCAUUAAAUGCAAAAGUGUCCGCUAGCAGUUCAUCAAAACUCUCUCGGCUGUCUUCUCUGCAAUUCCCCGUGCAGUUGCGCCGCCUUCGAAUUUCUAACGGCUCGAGAACUUCAUCUUCCUCCAAACGUCGCUUGCUGCCAGUGGUAAUCUUUGAUUUUGCUUUGUUUUGAGUAGUUUUUAAUUAAUAUUUGUUUACGAGUUCCUUAAUUGAAAUAAUUACUUUCGGUAGGUUGAAGCGAAGAAGCAAACAUUUUCGUCACUUGAUGAUUUGCUGCAGAAAUCUGACAAGCCUGUGUUGGUUGACUUCUAUGCCACCUGGUAAUUUUCAUCCUUCGCUCAAGAAAAUUUUAACAUUGUAUAAUGAACAUCAAGUUGAUUACUUAUGCUAUAUUUUUUACUUAAUUUUAAUAACAAAGUAGCUAAAUUGUUUGGUGAGCAUUCUUUUUUAUGGCAGCUAAUGUUGAUUGCCUAGCCACUUGCCUAUACUUGUCAGCCAGUAAUUUCAUUCCACAGCUUCUGAUUUUGUUUUUGUCUUGUUUGUUAACAGUUACCAUCUAGUGUUUGCACUUCAAGUUUGUUAAAAGGUUUUAUAAAUUGAAACAUAGACAACUCGUGAUAUGGUUUGCAGGUGUGGUCCUUGCCAGUACAUGGCUCCUAUCCUCAAUGAAGUUGGUGCUGCUCUGAAAGAUAAGAUUCAGGUGGUCAAAAUCGAUACUGAGAAGUACCCUCAGAUCGCUGAUACAUACAGAAUAGAGGCCUUGCCAACUUUCAUUCUAUUUAAGGACGGGAAACCUUCUGAUCGCUUCGUAAGUCAAUUUAAUAUUGUUUUUUUUGUUUUCCUUGAAAAUUUAAUUUGUGCAUCUUUACAAAAUCAUUGUUUAUUCUCUGUGAAAAUGCAUUAAAGUGUCAAGUGACUACUAUGAAUAACCUGAAGAUCCUCUCUUUCCCAUGCCUGUAAAUUUUGGUGUUGAUAUUUGGAUUUGGAAAUUCUUUUCAAGCAUUGUCUUUCACUUUAUUGGAUUCCGUUAUAAUCGAUGUGUAGCUCUGAGGGUUAUCCAAUAUUCCAAAGUUUGUUGCUAGGCCUGGGAUAUUUCCUUUACACAGAUAGUAUCAUCAUCAAUAACUUAUGCAUUUUGUUGUUUGAGCCACUGGUGUAUUUUUGACUCAGUUGACUGGCAUCAGCAGUAUGCGCAUAUUGUCAUUGUAUGAUUCUUUUUUGCUUUUCAGUUACUUUUUCUGGUAGCUGUUGCCACAGGUUAGUUCUUUCAUAUGCCUGUGGACAUUAAGUUCAAUAACAAUCCUGAUGGUUGAUUGUUUUCAGGAGGGUGCUUUUUCUAAAGAUCAGCUUAUCCAACGCAUUGAGAAUUCAUUGAGCGUCAAGCAAUAGUUGUGGUGAGCUCUAGUUUUUAUUUAUUUCUACUUUUGAGUCUGCCCCAAUGAGUUUAUGUCCUCAAAGAGCCCUUUUAAUUGCCAUUCUCCUGUUGGCUCACUCUCUGCUAUUUUUGAUGUUUUGCAGUUUCUCAGGUUCUACCAGGAAACCAAUGUAAUCAAGUUGUUAGAUUGGAAUAUUGAAUUCAGUAAACAGGGAAUUCACAAGGAAAUUGUCUUUUCGUUUCUUUCCAUUUUUUAUUUUCGAAUCUCUUGUAUUUUUACCUAAAUUUUAUGACCUAUUUUUUUUAGGUUAUGCUGCUGAUUUUUUUACAAUAAAAAAUUUUGAUGACCUACUGUAUUGAAAUUUUGGUGUGAAUUCAUCAUGUUAAUGGUGCUGUCAUGGCAGUUUCUGUGUCUCUUUAGUUUGUUCAAUGAUCUUGGUCUGCAGUAUAGUGGAUGACUACUGACUAGUAAUAAGGGCUCACUCGACACAGUAAAGGGCAUAUAAGAUCCUCCAGAAUGACCAAUGCUUUUCAAGUUUCUUGACUCUAAAUAAUAUACAUUUUAAUUAAGGUUGUAGAUUUCAAGUAUAAUGCAUUGCGAUAUCAUCGCUUUAUCUAUAUUUUCCUUGAAGUUUUAAUAAUAUAGUUACAAAUUUUUAUAUAAAUUUAUUUUGUACAAAUUGAUAUGACAUAAUUAAAUUAAUUGAAUUAAAUAUUUCUUGAUUCAUUAUAUUUAUUUUUAUUAUUUUAAAUUUUUUUAAUUAAUAAAUUAAUAUCAAAUCAGUUUGUCCAAACUUAUUUUUACAAAAAUUGAUGAUUGUAUCUUAUAGACUCCUCAUAAUUUGCGGGGAAGGAAAUUGUAGGCUUUUGUUUUUGUUAUUGUGUUUUUUUUUUCCGGUUUUUAUGAAAAACAAUUGAGUGAAAAAGCUAUUAGCUAUCUAAUUAACUGGUGUUACUAAAACAACCCUGAUUGGUGUCAACGCUGAAUUAAUAAUAGCGGUGAGCAAGGGGGGUAGGGUCGUCUAUUAAAUGAGAUUAUACCAUAUACCGUCCAGGUGAGAAAUUGCCAAACCCCGAGGGAGGUAAGCGAUAUUACCUUUUCCUAUUCUACUUAUCGACUCCUUCUCUGGCAUAGGCUGAUCAGCAACGGGGAGAUGGAAAUGGAAAUGCGUGCGAGUGAGGAAAUAAGGCAAGGUGAAGACAUAACGCCACCAUUAUUUCCUCUCACUUUCGCAUUUCACGACUCUUUACUCGACGGUCACUGUUCGUCUUGCUUCUCUCCACUUCCUUGUUGCUGCUCCUCCCUCCCCCUCUCCUCCGCCGAACUCCGCGCCGCUCUCCACCUCCUCCACUCCCCUCUUCCCACUACCUCUCUUCCUCCUCCUCCUCGUCUCUUCGGCUUACUCACCAACCGCGACAAGCUAAUGUCUUCCUCCGACUCCGAUGUUGCGUCCAAAAUUCGAGAAGGAGCGGGGGAGAUGGGGAGAGCGAGAGGGAAUUUGUCCGACGACGUCGCUUGGGAGGAGGCUGCGUUGUGUUUGGUGAUGACCAAUGCCGUUGAGGUGCAGGAUGAUAAGACAGGGCGUAUUUUAGGUAUCGCCGUGUACGAUAAGGAUUUCUCUUGGAUCAAUCACAGCUGUUCUCCCAACGCUUGUUACCGCUUCUCGCUUUCUGAGCCAAAUGCUCCGUCGUUUCGCGAUGAAAAGAAAAUGCGGAUUGCUCCUCACGUUGUUUUCGACAGCACUGAGGCUGAAACUCCAGUAAAAUCCCAGCUAUGUUGAAAUUUUUUUGAAUUUUUUAACUGACUUGAGCAAGUCGAUAAUUGAUUUGAUGCAGGGAAAGAGUGAUGUUUGUAUCAGUUGUGAAUUAAAAGAAGGUUGCUAAUGCUAAUUGUUGUUCAUUUCUAUAUAAAUUUUGCACAUUGUUUGAUUUUUGCCGUUCUGAAUUUCAUUUAAUUUUAUUUUCAAGGAAGUAAGAGACAUGGUCCAAGGAUCAUUGUAAGGAGUAUUAAGCCAAUUAACAAAGGCGAGGAGGUAACUGUUGCUUACACUGAUUUGUUGCAACCUAAGGUACUACAUUCCAUUUAAAAUCAGCUGAUCAGGCAUUUGUUUUAUUUGAUAAUUUUGUAUAAUUCUACAUUGUUCAAACCAAUUUUAUUUUGUUUAGGGAAUGAGGCAGUCAGAGUUGUGGUCAAAGUAUCAAUUUGUCUGUCACUGUAAGCGAUGCUCUGCGUCACCUCCAAGUUACGUAGAUAUGGCCUUAGAGGUAAAAACUUUAUGUAAAUUGUCCGCGGGAAGAUCUCAGUUGCAAACGAGUGGUGUGACAAGUAUUGAACUCUCGAGGGCUUUUUUUGUUCUUUCUCCAGGAAACCUUUUCUUCAAAUCCUGAGUUUUCGAGCUUGAGUUCUGAUUACAACUUCCUCAAGGACGAGGCAAAUCAAAAGUUGACUGAUUGGAUGGAUGAAGUUACAUCUGAAUAUCUAUUAGUUGAUGAUCCUGAAUCUUGCUGCCAGAAGCUGGAGAACAUCCUUACCCAAGGUCUGCAGGGUGAGUUGUUAGAAUCCGAAAAAGUAAAAAUACAGCUGAAUUUGAGGUUGCAUCCCCUGCACCAUCUCUCACUGAAUGCCUAUACAACACUGGCAUCUGCAUAUAAAACCCGUUCAAUUGACUUAUUAGCUCUCAAUUCUGACAUUGAUGGACAGCAAUUGGAAGCUUUUGAUAUGAGCAGGGCAAGUGCCGCAUACUCAUUACUGCUUGCUAGUGCGACUGACCAUUUGUUCCGAUCUGAGUCAUCUCUGAUUGCAGCGUCUGCAAAUUUCUGGGCAAGUGCAGGGGAGUCCUUGUUAACUCUUGCUAGAAGCCCAGGGUGGAAUUUAUUUGUGAAACCGGAAUUGCCUAUUUCAACCUCGUCCCCUGAGAUUCAUGAGUGCUCCAAGUGCUCACUAGUGGACAGAUUGCAAGUGAAUCCAUUUCUUAGUCAAUCUCGAAAUGCCGAUUUCCAGAUCAUAUGUAAUGAGUUUCUUGCUUGCAUCACUAAUAUGACACGAAAAGUUUGGGGUUUUCUUACACAUGGAUGUGGGUACCUGCAAAUGUUGAAAGAUCCCAUUGAUUUCAGCUGGCUUCGGCAGUCUUCCAAUUUGUGCCACACUCCAUGCUGCAGUGAUGAGGAAUCCAAUAAGGAAACCGGGUAUCAAGAAAGUAUUUGCAGAAGGGUAAUGCAGCGGUGUGAUGGUGAAGAAAGGAUUACUAUCUUUCAGCUUGGUGUUCAUUGUAUAGCUUAUGGAGGAUAUUUAGCAAAUAUAUGCUAUGGUCCGAAUUCCCAUUGGCCUUGUAAAAUUAAAAAUGUUGUACAAAACGAAGAGAAAUUGGUUCAUUGUUGAAAGAAUUUUCAAUUUUCCUUGCCAGUUAAAUUUUAAAGAACUAUAUGUGAAAGCGCCACUAGAAAUGACUAAUAUGUUUGAUCUGCCAUGCUUUGUGAGAUCCUUAAUAUGAAAUUCUCCUCUAAAUCGCAUAUGAAGGAAGAUGAAUAGAUGAAUAGAUGAAUAGAUGAUCAAAAGCGCUAGUCAGACAUAAGCGGUCGUGAAAUGGGCAUGGGCCAUGACUAUUUUGUAUCGAAAACAGAAUAAUUCCAAUUCACACCUUUAAGUACACCAACGCGGUUCGGGGAGUCCAACUUCAAGAGUAAUGCACCGAUUUUUUUUCCAAAAAAAGAAAGAAAGAAAUUGUUACAAUCCACCUGUACAUUAAUCUACUGGAAGCCUAUAUACAUACAUUUUAUAUAACAGAAUUUCAGAUUUGGAAAUCCACCCUUAUAUACCACUGGGGUUCAAAUCCAAUGUAAUGCAGUGAUGUUAGAUCUGAAUUUUAUUUGCACAAUUUUCAAAACUAAUUGUUAGAGUUUUGGAUCAUCUAAAUUGUUAGACAGAAAUUAAGUCUAUGCUGUCUCACUACUUCUUUAUUGAAUACGAUACAAGUGUGCGUACAUAAAUGUAUUUCGAUGUUUAAUUAUGAUUUUUUUUUAUCACUACUUUAAUCACAAUUCAAUUUUUUUUUUUUUCUGUAAAUUUUUUAUACUAUUUCAAGAGGUUUUAUUGCCAGUGUAAGCUAACCAAUAAACAACAAUAUUACUCGUCAAAAAAAGAACAAAUAACAAUAUCGAAUGGAAAGUUUUCUAUCACAAGCACACAUAUGUGAGGCGAAUGUAAUGUUCUUCCAGAAAAGCUUUUGGUGACCUCUCAGUAGGCUAAAUAAAGCAUUAAUAUUUCAUGCGAUGCCUAUAUGGUCUGUUUCAAUUGAUAUAAGAAGUAUCAAUGAUUUAGAGGAGCCGUUGCUUAAUGAAUUAAGCUCCUUCAUACACGUUGUAAUUGGGGAUUGUAGCUUCUCCUUACGUGUAUGGUGGAGCUGGAAGCAUGUGGCCUCAAUGGAACCCAAAUCUCCUUCAUUAGUGUCAAAACAAUUUAGGUGUUGAAUCAAUUAGCACUCGCUAGUAUCCGAAGUUUCUAAUUGCACAAAAAUUAACUAAAAUGGAAUACUAGUGCUGAGCUUAUCCAAUAAUUUAGCUUAAGAGAUUAAUUUAAUUGAACUUACGUGUCAUUACUUUUUUUGGUCUGUGAUCACUCGAUUUUAAUACUAAUUUUGAACCCCUUCCAAUCAAACAUGAACAGUUGGCCUUACCUCGAUCCUAUACAUGACAUAAAAUCAAGCAAAUCAAGAGGGGUCUUAAUUAAACGUUAGAACAUUAGGUUACGCAAUUGUUAACAUCACAUUACCGAAUCAAUCAGACCCCCACCCAUCAAAGUUCAUCAACCACACAAACCGAUUUUAGUACUUUUCCAUCGAUCAUUAUCCUACCUAUAAACGUGGCUGCACGAUCUUGUUUCCAUGGGACCCAUAAAUAAGGCAAGUCCAUACUCAUAUUUUAAUAUACAGAUGCAUUGAUUUAUUAAUAGUUUCAUCUAAUUAGAGAUAAUAUAAUCAUGAUGAUGCAGUUAAAUUUUAUAUAACCAUCAAUUAUAUGUUAGUUCUUUAAAAUAAAUUUAUAAAUUUAAUAAUAUUAUUUUAUUUAUUAUAUGAUUGAUAUAAUACUUUAAAGGUAUUCUAAAAUUUCUCCACCUCUACAUAUAUAUAUAUAUAUAUGUACACAUGUCAAAUGACUUAUGCCUCUAAGCUUUAUUUCCAACACCAAUGUCUCUAAGCUCCCAACGUUUUGGACUUCAACAUUGUUUUUUUUUUUUUUUAAUUUGGAUUUGGUCAAUCACUAUGUUACAACAGUUGCAAUACUUUGGAUUACCAACAAAAAAAUUUGUCUUACUUUAAAAGUUGUUUAUUACAGUAUUUCAAUUUUUUCAUUAUACAAAAAUAUUUGAGAACCAUAAGUCAUUCUAUGAUACCGUGUUAAAAUCAUGACAUCAAUGCUAUAAUCAAACAUAAGUUCUAUAAUUAAAAUAUAAGAUUUGUGAAUUUAAUAUAAAAUUUGUAAAUUAAUAUUAACUAUAAAAUAAAAUAUAAAUUUUGAAAAUGGAAAAAAACCUUGUAAAUGAAAGGUAAAACAAGUAAGUUAAUAUAAAACUAGUAAAUUGAUAUAUUAUUUGUAAACAAAUUAAAAACUUAGAAAUAUAACAUAGAACUAGUAAAUUAACAUUAAGUACAAAAUAAAAUAUAAAAUUCAGAAAUUGAAGAUAACACCUCUAAAUGGAAUGUAGAGUAAGUAAAUUAAUAGAAAACUAGUAAGUUGAUGUACUUAUGGUAAACAAAACAAAAACUUAUAAAUAUAACAUACAAUUAGGCCAAGUCUCACUGAUGAGCGCUGACGUAAUGCCCCAACUACAUCUUAAGGAGGUUAUUGAUAUAUUAUUGGUCAACAACACAAAAAACUUACAAGUAUAACACAAAACUAAUAAAUCAAAUUAAGUGUAAAAUAAAACAUAAAUUUUGAAAAUAAAACACAAGACUUAUAAAUGAAAUGUAAAACAAGCCAAUCAAUAUAAGAGUGAUAAAUUAAUGUUUUACUAGUAGACAAAAUGAAAACUUGCAAAUGUAACAUAAAACUUAUAAAUUAAUAUUAAGUGCAAAAUAAAAUAUAAAUUUUAUAUAUUACACCUAAAAUGUAUGAAUAGAAGGUAAAAUUAGUAACUUAAUUUAAGAGUUACUUAAAAAAAAUGUAAAAAAAUUACAAACGUAAAAUAAAAACCCAUUGAUUAUCUUAUAUAUUUGAUUUUGUAUUUAAAUUGAAUAAUGAUUAUUUUUUGUUCUUGUGAUACAUUUGAUGUUUUAUUAAGGAUAAAACUUAUUCUCAAAGUUAAAUAAGACUUAUUGAGGAUAAAACUUUAAUGUUUUCAAAGUUGUUUUAAAAUGAGCUCAUUUUACAUUUUUCUACACCUCAGCAGCAGCAUAAAUGGUUCUUGAAUAUAAGUAAGGAGUAAAGUUUAAAACUAUGCAUAAAACUCAAAAUUAAAUAUAAUUUUAUUGAUAUAUCAUAUGUGUCUAGUAAUAAGAAUAUCUUUUUAUUUUGUUUCUGUUUGAUCUACGUUAAGAUAAAUAAUUUCACUUAAUUAACUUGUGUCGUAAAUAGAUAUUAUUAUAGAAAAUUAAAAAAAAAGUUCAUAAACAUUCCAGAAUGAGCAUAGAGUUUAUAGUUAAAACAAUUCAACAAAACCUAUUCCACUUGUUUUCAGUAUAGUUUUUUUUUUCAAUUGAUGAGUGAUUUUUUCCUUUAUUUAAUUAAAGUAAAUGGUUAUAUUAUUUUUCACUAAAAUAAUAUAAAAACAACGUUAAUUAUUUAAAUAAUAAUAUUUUUAUAUUAAUUUACUUAUUCAUAGUCUUAUAUAUAAUUUAUAAAAUUUAUAUUUAGCACAAUACUAAUAUCAUAAUUGUAAUCACAAUAUUAUAGAAUUUCCUAUUUAUAAUAAAAAUACAAGCUGAUAACAGUUACAUUUAUUUAUGACUAUAGUUUAAAGUUGAGAGUUCUAUAUAAUUUUUAAUAUUAUUCAACCGAUAACACUAAAAAGAGAAAAUUAUUUAACUUUAGAUGAUGACCAUUACAUUUAUUUUUCUUUUCAAAAAAAUGGAUAUUAAAUGGUGCAAACAACUGUUGGUAUUAAAUAUCUAGUCUUGCCGACACAUCAACUGCCAUUGGAUUGGGACCCAUUUAACUACCGGCCACAAAACAGUUUGGACAAAACUUAAUCCUGAAAACUUGUGGACCCCUCCUUUUAAAAAAUUAAAGAAAAAUUACGUGUCAAAAACAAGAAGAAAAAAUUACACUGAUGAAUUAUUGUUAUGUCAAAUUAUUUAGGGGUGGACAAAAAAAUCAUAGUCUUAAAUAAAUCGAAUCGAAUCGAUGAUUUUUUCUAAUUUAGUUCAGUUUUUAUUUUUUUUAAAAAUCAAAAUAUAUCAUUUGUAAAAAAAAUUGAAAUGUCGGUUCGGUAUUCGGUUCACUUAGCUGAACCGAAAAAUCGAAUUAUUUUUUGAUUUAUUCAAAUCAAACAUGUGUUAAUAAUUAUAUUCAAAUCAAACAUGAUUUUAUUCAAAUCAAAACAUGUGUUAUUUCUCUUUAUAACAUUAUGAUUAUGUUUAUAUAGAUGGAGUAUUGGAGUUUGGUUAUGUAUUUUGAAAUUUUAAUAUUUCAUAUUUUGGGAGUAUCUUAUUAAUAGUUAGUAAGAUAUUAGUGAUAAAAUGUGUUUUGAAUACUUUGUAUUUAUUGUUAAUAUUUGUAAUAAAAUUAGGAUAAAUUAAUUGUUGAAAAAAAUUAUUACAUUCAUAAGGUCUAAUAGACUAAAAAUUUAAAAAUUUAAAAAUUCAAAAUAGGCACAAUAGGUCAAGAAUCGAAAAAAUCGAACCGAACUGGAUCGAUCCAAAAAGAACCAUUUGAGCUCAGUUCUUAUUGAGUUUGAUUCUUAUUCGGUUCUUUUUAUAAAAUAAUCGAUUUAAAUCGAUUCUAUUUAAUUUCAAACCGAACCGAACCGUGCCCACCCCUAAAAUUAUCACACAUAAAAUAAAGAAUUUAAGCAAAAGUCUUAAACCAUUAUAAAUGUGAACAUAUGGCAGAUUUAUGAUAUGAUGGGUCCACCUAUUAAAUAUCUUUUUUUAGUGUGGAUACUCGUGUUUCAUAAAAGUAUAAAUUUAAUAUUUUAUAAUAGUAUAAAAUAUUUUAUAAAGGGCAAACGUCAACACUUUAAAAAAAAUUCUUAGGAUUAAAGUUUAUCAUUAUAAAAAUAAAGUUGGUUGGUGUGAGUGUUUCGAUAAUCUCAUUUUUUAAGAGAGAUUAGGGAUUUAAGCUCCGCUCUUAUAUAGAGUCACUAUUUUAGUCAGUAUUUUAUCUUUUAUGGGCCGACCUGGUACGAGUAGGGAUUAAUCUAAAUUAUAGUAUCGAUUUAAAAGUAUCUCCUACAAUUGAGGUCCACUCAGAACUGACAAAAAAAAAAUUAUCAUUACAAAGAGUGAAAAAGAGAAAUCCAGUUUUGAGGGUUACCAAAGCACUUAAAAAAAUAUAUAAAGCACAAAAUAUUUAAAAAUUGGAGAGAGUUCGCAUCGAGAAAGGGUCUUAAUUCAUUAAUGCAUAUGACAUACAAUGCAAAGUUUCGCGGUCUAUUAAAGCUAGAAUUAAUUUUAUCCAUUAAACUGCUCUUUUCCUAUUUUAUGGAUAAUUCUUUUGAACCACUGUUGAAGUAUUUGCAAUUUUUUACUAAAUUGUCUCAGCAUGAAGUCUCGUUGGCGAAACCAUCCAUGUCCAAAUAUGACGAAAAUAAAUGAACCAACAAUAGACCAGUCACAUUAUUAUUAUUAUUAUUAUUUGAGCACAUAAAUUGAUUUUCUUAUAGUAAAGAAAAAAAAAGUUUUUUCUCCGUGAAUUUGACUUUUUCUUGUGGUAUCGAACCAACCAUAGACUUAUUACCUCUAAAAUUUUCUGAAGGUUAAGAUUUUUUUUUUUAAACAAUUAAAACCAUCCCCAGAAAGAGACUCGAUGACACGUGUCAAAAAAUUGAAGUUUCUAACGGAGUUAAGAAAUAAGAAUAUGUUAAAAUAAGCAAAUUAAUGCAUACAUGUCAAAAAAUCUUCCAAAUAUUAAUUAAGUAAAUUCAGAUUAGUACAAUUUUAUUGAUUAUUUGAUUGUCACCCAGAAAAUCUAAGAAGAAAUUUUUAGCAACCCUUACUAUUUGGGUCACGAAAAGCUUAUAAAUAGACCCAGAUCUCCCAUACUACGAUCAUCAGCAACACCAAAAACACUUUCUUGAAGUAGCGUCUAUAAAUUUCUCUUCUGCUAUCACUUUUUACUCUAUUAAUUAAUAAUGUCUGAGGAAAAGCACCACCACCACGGCCUCUUCCACCACCACAAGGAGCAUGAGAAGCCUGAGGGUGCCACCGGCUACUCCGACACCGCCACCGGCUACUCUGAUACAGCCACCGGCUACUCUGAUACCCCCACCGGUUACUCCGACUCGACCACCGGAUACUCUGAUCAGUCAGCCACUGAUUACUCUGAGACUACAGGUUAUCCGGGAGACCGGCGUCGGCCAUCGGAGACGGAGAGCGGUGACUAUGGCAGGAAAGAGGAAGAGUUUGAUUACAAGAAGGAGGAGAAGCACCACAAACAUCUCGAGCACCUCGGAGAGCUUGGAACUGCUGGAGCUGGUGCUUUUGCUCUGGUAAAGUGAUUCUUCAUCAAGUGCUUUUUUUAUUUUGUGAUAGUGUAUAGUUUCAUUUCUCAUGCAUACAUACAAAAAAAAAGAUUUUUUUUUUUUUGACAGCAUAUAUAUGUAUAUAUACAAAGUACCACGCAUGUAACUAGGCUUUUUGCAUGGAUUGGAGGAAAAAAAAGAAAGAAUCCCAUUAUUUUCUUUAAUUUUAUCUCUAUGUUGACACUCAAUUAUUUAUUUAUUUAUUUUUUUUUGGGUGGUGGGGGGGUGUGAACCGAUAUUGUAAAUGGAUCAGCUUGAGAAGCACAAGGCAGAAAAGGACCCAGAGCAUGCACACAGGCACAAGAUAGAGGAGGAGAUAGCCGCGGCCGCAGCCGUUGGAUCGGGAGGAUUUGCGUUCCACGAGCACCAUGAGAAGAAAGAAGCCAAGGAAGAAGACGAGGAAGCUCAUGGAAAGAAGCACCACCAUCUCUUUUAAUUAAUUAUGUAUUGCGUGCGCUACCUUUUUUAGUUUAUUAUAAUUAUGUGUUAAUAUUUUCUGUAUUUUAUUUGUUUUUGUUCGUUAAUUAUCAUUGAGCACAGAGGUAGCUAUCUGCAGCCCUAAAUAAUACUCUUGUGUGUUCGCGUGUAUGGGUGAGUCUGGUGACUUUUGUAAAUAGACCGGAGUUAUCUGGUUAUGUUGUCAUCUUACUUUCAUAUUUAUGUUGAUAAUAAAACUUAGUUUUAAUUGUGUGUUUAUUAUUUAUAAGAUUUGACCUCAUGAUCUGAUGUUUUCUCCAAUCUCAGCUGUUGCUUUAGAAGUGGGGAUCAUCUAUUACUAUUGUUUUUAAAUGAACUGAGCUGACAGCCAUUGCGCUAAAGACUAAUUCAACAUCAUAAAUAAACAACUCUCUUUGCGGUGAUGUAAUUUUAUUUGCCAAUGGGAUAAAGUAAAUUUAUGUGAAAUAACAUUUAUUCUAUAUUUAUUAAAUUUUUUAAAGGAAUAUAUAAAGUUUAAAUUAACCUACAACUUUUCUUAAGAUUCAAAUCCUUGGGGGCUUUAUCAAAUAAGAUUUGAUAUUAUAUCUGAAAAUGUAAUCGUGAAACCAAUGAUUAUAAGUUGAACUUAAUGUACAACUAAUCUUGAUAUUACCAAGUUGAUUUAUGGACUUUUGCUCGAGAAUGUUGUAUGGCUCGUGACAAGUUGGACUGAAAAGCCUAUCGAGUAAUGGAAUGUUAGGUGUAUUUUCUCAAGAAGCAACACUAAAUAAUCACCCGCUGAGAGUCACAAGUUUCUUGGCACAAUGUUACUUUCAUGGAUUUAAGUCUCUAAUUAUUGUGUUUUGACUCUAAAGCCAAAUCCCUGUACCAUUGUCAUGAAGGAGGGCCAAAAUAAUCAUUUCCGAUUCGGCUCAACUUUGAUACAAUAGUUGGAGCGAUUAAUGUUACACUUUAACAUCUAACUAGGGACGUAGCUUUCUCCUUUAUUGUAAUAAACAUGAAAGUGAAAAAAAAAUGUAAUUGAAAAGAUUAAGAGGACAUGAAAGAACACGAAACAGGGCUCCAUCUACCAUGCCCCCUUGCGCACCGUACCCCCUUUACUUGUUUUGUAAUGAAGGCACCGUUGGAUGAAAAGGAGGAAGAUCGUGGAAGUGGGAAAUCGCCAGGUGGCAGUUGACAAAAACCGGGAGUAUAAGUCAAUUGACAGGAACUGUUUAUGGUGCAAUAAUUUUAUUAAAAGGAACAACAAAUAUGUUGGUACAGACAACAAUAAAGUAGUUAGCUGAAGCAAUUAUAUGUAGAAGCAAGUAGUUUGUUAGAGACAAUUUUAUGUACGUUAUAAACAAAUAUUUUGUUGGAAGAGGCAUAUAAGUGUGGUUACUGUAGCACGGAAAAUGAAAUGAGAUCAAUUGAUGUUAACUAAAUAAAAAAUGAAGCAUGAACGAAAGGAUAGGAAGUAGAUGUAGUUGAUUAGAUGUGUUGAGAAUACGCUCGGAGCCGCAAAAUCCGGCAGGGCCACAGUAAAUAGAGCAAAAAAUAAUCUAGUAUGUGGAGGGAUGAGUUGGCGAAUUAGUAGGAAGCAUCAAAAAAAUUGAGAGCCGCCGUCGGCUGACCAUUUGUGGCAUUAGUUCCACAAAUUGGCAAAUGGGGGAAGGAAGCUUGUGUAAGUGGCAUUAUUUGUAGUGUAUGGAAAUAAUGGGAAAACGAGGAAAAACAAUUACAGCACAACAAGUAAUACUGAAAUAAACAGAAAGGAGAGAAAAAAUGGAAUGAAAAUAAAGUAUAAUUGCAUAGAUAGUGAUUUAUUUUUUUUUUUAAAAGAAGGAACAAAUUGUAGAGUGGAGAGGAGGUAUAUAUAAUCAGAACAAUAGUGGAUUAGAUUUGUGUGAAAUUUGCAUGAGUCUGAAGAAGUAUAAAUUGGAUUUGAAUAGAAUUUGAACUUAUCUGUGGCUAGGAUUUGAAUAUCAAGUAAAAUACGAAAAAAAACAUGUAGCAAAUAAAGAUUGGCAUGGAAGCAGGAUAAUCAGUUCGAAAAGCAGGAGCUAUGGAAUUGACGAUAGCUUGAAAACCCAUGCAUGUCAGUGUUGUUACAUGGCAGCUAUCACCAUAGGUCCACAUCGGUGACUUGAAAUAACAAAUAUCUCGGAAAGUGGGUGAUUGCUUAAGACGUGAACGACCAAAUGCCCAUCAUCUUUAUUUAUUACCAUGAAACUGCACUUUAUAGCGCCAUAUAAAUACAUUCGUAAUGCACAAAACAAAUACAUGUCCAUUACAUUGGCAGCCCCAAAAUUAAUAAAAUAAUAAUAAUAAUGCUCAUUUCUAAUGAAAUCAAUAAAUCAGAUCUACAAUGGACUGUAACCCAUAGGCAUGAUGCAUCCGAUUCACUUCUUUCCAUUACUUGUUGCAAUUUCACUUUCUGAUUUUCUACACAGAUUCAUUGAAAAAACUUAACAACUCUGAAGUUACUAUGGAACUUUCGAUCAUACAUUUGAUUAUCAUUACAUGUACUUACAAAGAUACAAAACAGAUAAAUUAAUUAAUCCCUUGAUCAUUAUACUACAAGUGCAAAAAAUUGUGAUAUAAAUUUAGGAAAAUCAGUUGGGUGGAAAUUGAUAAUUAAGACGCGAUGUGCUUCUAAGAAGUUGAAGCUGAAUGUAUACUCAGCAUAAAGAUAAAUAAACGGGGACGCCAAACACCACUAAUACAAUAAAAUUACAGAGAAAAACAACUAUUUUUUCUCAUCAAUCCUGCUGCAUUAAAUGGGCCCAGUUGAACUGCUGGUAAUAAUCCCUAAAUCAAUUUGAAAUCGAUGCCCUCUACUCCAUAAUUUUACCCUAAAUCUCACUUCCCAGUAGGUUUACCAACAAAAAUUCACUAUUCAACUCAUGCAUUUCAAUUUCAGCUUCCACUAACCUGAUAUUUUUUAUUGCCGUGAUCUCUUCUCCCUCUGUUUCGUUUGAUGCUACCAGAAGAAAAUUAAACUCAACAUGAUCCGCUUCAUAAAUCCGAGCUAACACACCGUCGCUGCGCACUUGACUAUUCUCCACAACUCGGGUCUCUCUCCCUCACACCGGUCAAAAUCAAUUCCACUCACGAUUUACAGCACCCUAAGACCAAUGUCAAAGGUGCAACAGGUUAGAAUGGUAGCCCAACUUUAACUCACUAUUCAUUCUCAAAGCUCCAGCCAUUAGAUUUCACUCAUUAUAAUCUAACGGUUCCAGAAAACCGACAAAUACAGGGAGCACGGUGCCCAAGGGGGCACAAUUAGGGAUGGCAAUGGGGCGGGGUAGGGGUGGGGAUGCCUACCCCAUUCCCCACCCCAUUAAAAAUUUUUGCCUCCAUUCCCCACCCCAUUCCCCAAUAAAUUUAGUGGGUUGGGGAUGGGGAAUCCCCACGUGGGGAAUGAUUCCCCCAUCCCCACCCCAUUCCCCAUUUACAUAUUUUAUAGUAGAUAUAAAAAUAUGAUUUCAGUAAAUUAAAAAUUAGAGACUUAAGAUAAAAUCAUCACAAUAUUAUAAAGUAUUUAAUUUUAAAAAAAAUCUCUAAAAAUUUGAAACAAUAUCUUAAAAUGAUAUUAAAAGUGAAAAAUAUUUAAAGAAAGCAGCACCUUAAAAGAGAAAAGAAAAUAUAUUAAUGUUUUAAAAUUGAAAAAUAUUGUAGAAUUUUCUUUUAUUCAUAUUCUAUUUAUAUUACAUAAAAAUUACAAAUAAAAUUAUUAAUUGACAUUAUAGUUGAUAAAAUACAAAUUAUUAAAUAAGAAUUAAAAACAUAUUUAUAUAUAAUGGGGAUUGGGGUGGGGGUGGGGUGGGGAGUGCAAUACCAAACCCCACCCCGUUAACAAUUUGGGGAUUACUUUUCCCCCACUCCCCACCCCAUUCCCCAAAAAUUAUUAAAAAAUUUCCCCAUUUGGGGUGGGGCUCCAUGGGGCCCCAAACCCGUGGAGAAUUUUGCCAUCCCUAGGCACAAUAGCUGGACCCACGAAACAGGCGGAUAAUUAGGGAAGUGUUGGUCAUGAUUGUCAUCUUUAAUUUGCAGACAAAGAGCAUUAAUUUUUUUUUUUUGGGUUUUAUACUUUUAUCUCACCACUUGAGAGUGGUACAUUUAACAAAAACCCAAAUUCACUAGCAUCUAUGUAAUGUUAUUAUUAUUCUCGCUAAAAAUAUGCUUAAACAAAAAGGAAAUAUCGACAAUUCUAAAUAGAUAAAAAAUUAUUUACACAGGCGUUAAAAAAACCUUUAUGGAUUAAUUUUUUAAUAAUAAAUAAUAAUCUUCAUUAUUAUUUAGUCUAAUGACAGCUGAUGGAUUCUUUUUUCUAUUUAUAUAAUCAGCUUAAUUAGUUCGAGCCUAAAAUUUUUUAUUUCAAGAAAUUUUAUCACCUCAGAUGAAACCUACAUUGAACAAUUGUUUAUAUUACAACAGUAAAUUAUAACCACCGAAACAUCAACUGCCAUUGGAUUGGGACCCAUUUAACCACCGGCCACAAAACAGUUUGGACGAAACUGAAUCCUGAAAAACUUAUGCACCUCCCUUUUCACUUGUUUUUUUAAAAAAAAUUAAAGAAAAAUUACGUGUCAAAAAGAAAAAAAAAUUACACUGACGAAUCCCUUACUGUCAUGCCAAAUUAUCACACUUAAAAUAAAGAAUUUAAGCAAAAGUCUUAAACCAUUAUAAAUGUGAACGUAUGGCUGAUUUAUGAUAUGAUGGGUCCAUCUAUUAAAUAUGUUGUUUUCUUUAGUGUGGAUGUUUUUAUUUUAUUUUAUAAAAGUAUGAAUUUAAUAUUUUAUAAUAUUAUAAAAUAUUUUAUAAAGUGCAAAGUUCAACACUUGAGAAAAAUUUCUUAAGGUUAAAGUUUAUCAUUACAAAGAGUGAAAAAAAAAAAAGAAGAGGAGGAAAAUAUCCAAUUGUAACUACAACCGUCGUGUUUUUACAUUGUAUUUCUUACAAUUUUCCAUUAAAUAUUUCUCAAAUUCUUUAGAGAAUUAAAAUAAAUUUGUUAUAAAAUUAAAUUCUCUCAUGAUCUAAAUUUGUCUGGAGUAAAAUUUAGUUGGAGAUUAGUGGUUAAUUAAAAAAAUAGUUAAAUCAAAAUCAUACAUAGCAUUAAAAAAAAUAUAAAAUACAAGAUAUUUAAAAAUUCGAGAGAGUUCAUGUUAAGAAAGGGUUUUAAUUCAAUAAUGCAUAUGAUAUGCAAUGCAAAGUUUGGUGGGUCUAUUAAAACUAUAAUUAAUUUUAUCCAUUAAACUGCUAUUUCCUCUUUUAUGGAUAAUUCUUUUGAGCCACUGUUGAAGUAUUUGCAAUUUGUAACUAAAUUGUCUGAGCAUGAAGUCUCGUUGGUAAAACCAAUCAUGUCGACAUGUAACGAAAAUAAAUCAAAAUCCGGAAACAAUAUUUAUGUAACAAUGAACCAACAAUAGACCAAUCACAUUAUUAUUAUUAUUAUUAUUAUUAUUUGAGUACAUAAAUUGAUUUUCUUAGAGUAAAAAAGAAAAGAUUUUUUUCUCCGUGAAUUUGACUUUUUCUUGUGGUACCGAACCAACCAUAGAGUUAUUACCUCUAAAAUUUUCUGAAGGUUAAGAAUUUUUUUUUAAACAAUUAAAAUCAUCCCCAGAAAGAGACUCGAGUACACGUGUCAAAAAAUUGAAGUUUCUAACGGAGUUAAGAAAUAAGAAUAUGUUAAAAUAAGCAAAUUAAUGCAUACAUGUCAAAAAAUCUUCCAAAUAUUAAUUAAGUAAAUUCAGAUUAGUACAAUUUUAUUGAUUAUUUGAUUGUCACCCAGAAAAUCUAAAAAGAAAUUGUUAGCGACCCUUAACAUUUGAGUCACGAAAAGCUUAUAAAUAGACCCACAUCUCCCAUGCUACGAUCAUCAGCAACACCAAAAACACUUUCUUGAAGUAGUGUCUAUAAAUUUCUCUUCGGCUAUCACUUUUUACUCUAUUAAUUAAUAAUGUCUGAGGAAAAGCACCACCACCACGGCCUCUUCCACCACCACAAGGAGCAUGAGAAGCCUGAGGGUGCCACCGGUUACUCCGACUCGACCACCGGAUACUCUGAUCAGUCAGCCACUGCUUACUCUGAGACUACAGGUUAUCCGGGAGACCGGCGUCGGCCAUCGGAGACGGAGAGCGGUGACUAUGGCAGGAAAGAGGAGGAGGUUGAUUACAAGAAGGAGGAGAAGCACCACAAGCAUCUCGAGCACCUCGGAGAGCUUGGAACUGCUGGAGCUGGUGCUUUUGCUCUGGUAAAGUGAUUCUUCAUCAAGUGCUUUUUUUAUUUUGUGAUAGUGUAUAGUUUCAUUUCUCAUGCAUACAUACAAAAAAAAAGAUUUUUUUUUUUUGACAGCAUAUAUAUGUAUAUAUACAAAGUACCAAGCAUGUAACUAGGCUUUUUGCAUGGAUUGGAGGAAAAAAAAGAAAGAAUCCCAUUAUUUUCUUUAAUUUUAUCUCUAUGUUGACACUCAAUUAUUUAUUUAUUUAUUUAUUUUUGGGGUGUGGGGGGGGGGGGGGGGGGGUGUGAUACGAUACUGUAAAUGGAUCAGCUUGAGAAGCACAAGGCAGAAAAGGACCCAGAGCAUGCACACAGGCACAAGAUAGAGGAGGAGAUAGCGGCGGCCGCAGCCGUUGGAUUGGGAGGAUUUGCGUUCCACGAGCACCAU